rnacentral:lncRNA from 1 species
CUACAGCAUUGUCGAACUUGUCGACCUCCAGAAUCCAGGCAAUUGGAUUCAACCGACCGCGACACUACAAAUUAAAGUUAUCAAGCAAGGACAAGAAACAAUAUGGAUGAUAAAAGAAACACGUUUUACUUAGACGUUUGCAGUAUGAGGAAGAAGCUAGAGAGAAGGCUUUGUUGGGCCUGAUGAACAUUACAAGACCAGUAUGUGACAAAGACACACCAAACUCGAAUAGUGACACGUUUAUUUUGAUGCCCAAGGAAAAACUUUACCAACGUAUCUCUACUUGACACGACCCACCCCGAAUUUCACCCUGAAACCCAGAGUAAGUCGUGCGGGGACCACCUCCAAGGAAAAUUUACUGAAAAGAUUAAGAAAAUCUCCCUUGCAGAUGGACAACCCUAACUCGAAAAUUUCAUAUUACACUCUUAAUUUAACGCUUCUGAAUAUCACAUAAUAUACAAAAUUCUAAAGUAUUCAGAGCUACUAAACACAAGCGGAAGCAAGAAAACACAAGUAGGUUGAACAGAUAACCUACUGAUGAAAACUGGCCGAAAAGCGGGAGACUAUGCCUCGUCUCCUACUAGAUCCAACCCGAACUCUGCAGACUGGGCAAUUUAAAACGAAGGGCCCAGGGGAAAACAUUUAAUAACGUUAGAGUGAGUGGACAAAAAUAAAUUAAUAAUUAAAAUAUUUAUGUUUCCCCAAAUUAAUUUCUAAGGAAAAAUCGAAUGCAUGCCGCAAGCGAUAAAACCUUUAUCCCAUAAAAUAUCGAGCCUCUCAGACUCUAUAAUAUAUGUAUGUAUUUACACUCGUCCAUACUCCCUAUAUAAAUUCAUGGUCUAUAUAGGCUACUACGCUCGCGUCCAACGCUCACGUCACGCCUUAAUGCGGUGCUACACUACGCCAUCAAGGUGGACAGACGGGUGUAUAAAUAUGUGCCCAUACCCCCUAUAUGAAUUAAACACUCAAAAUAGGGCUACUACGCUUACGUCCAACGCUCACGUCACACCUUAAUGCGGCUAUAUGCUACGCCAUGAAGGUGGACAGACACAUAUGGCUAGCUAGCAUUUAUAUACAUACUCUCUCAUAAAUACAUAUUUAUAUCCACCGAAAAUCCCAUUUUCGGAGCUCUCCAAGAGAAAAUAAAAAUCGUCAAAUUAAAAUGACGUUAAAAUAUUCCGCAAUAUUAAUUGUUCAACCAUGAACUAUAGCAUGCAUUUAUUUAAAAUAAACGUCCACUCACGAAUUAGGCCUAAGCCUGAUGUCAAUCUGGGGUCUCGUCUGCUCGAGCCUCUUCACGUCCUGUUCCAAAUAUAAUAUUAAUUUCCCAACCAAUAUCCAAUAUUUAAUCAAAAUAGGCAAAAUUACCCGAGAGCCAUAAUUACGCUCAUUAUUGCCUAACUUCGAUAGUCUUACANNNNNNNNNNNNNNNNNNNNNNNNNNNNNNNNNNNNNNNNNNNNNNNNNNNNNNNNNNNNNNNNNNNNNNNNNNNNNNNNNNNNNNNNNNNNNNNNNNNNNNNNNNNNNNNNNNNNNNNNNNNNNNNNNNNNNNNNNNNNNNNNNNNNNNNNNNNNNNNNNNNNNNNNNNNNNNNNNNNNNNNNNNNNNNNNNNNNNNNNNNNNNNNNNNNNNNNNNNNNNNNNNNNNNNNNNNNNNNNNNNNNNNNNNNNNNNNNNNNNNNNNNNNNNNNNNNNNNNNNNNNNNNNNNNNNNNNNNNNNNNNNNNNNNNNNNNNNNNNNNNNNNNNNNNNNNNNNNNNNNNNNNNNNNNNNNNNNNNNNNNNNNNNACGAUCCGAACUUAAAUAUCAUACUCCACAGUCGUAAAUACAACCUCUCCAAAAUACGACUUAAAUCCAACGGCCGGAUUCUACAUUAAUUACCCGCCAAAAAUACCACACUUCGGAAAUUCAUAAACCUAUCCAAAACUCAUCCAAAAAUUCCAUAACUCACUUCAAUAAACUCCCCUUAAUAUUCCAAAUUUAACAACAUUAAAAUCUCCCAACCGGCGGCGGCUCCGCCGGCAGCGGCGGCCGGAGGUCAAUUCCGGCGACCUCCAAAACCUAUGAAAUUUUAACAGCAUCUUCCUCUCAUCAAGCUCUACAACUUUCAUAACUAGCACAAACACCAAUUCCAAGCCUAACUAGGGCAAUCGAACUAAAAACAUCAAAAACACCAUAAAACUUCCACCUCAAAUUUCUCCUUACCUAGCUCAAGAGGGAAUGAGUCCUUUUAGGGCAAGGUUGCUGGGUUGGAGGGCCACAAAACCAUACCAAGCUUGCCCAGAUUGGUGGCCGGAGGAGGAGUUCCGGCGAAGGAAGCUCGGGCAGCCCUUGCUUUCGGGCGGCACCGCUCUCUCACGGCGGCGCUAGGGCUCCUCUCACCGGUCUAGAAAUGUUGCUGGGAGGGAGACCGACCGAACGGGACCGGUCCGGCGGCGAACGGAGGUCGGACGGCGGCGGGAGGACGGCCGGAAUUCUGCUGGGUGUAGAGAGAAGAAAAUCGGGUGAGAAGAGAAGAAAAAUCGGGAGGGAGGGAGAAGAGAAAGAAGAAGAAAUGGGUUGGGCUCGGCCCAGCCGACCCAACACCCCUUUUAACCCAUAAUUCCAAAAUUCAACACCCCGAAAAAUAAUACCCGAAUAAAAAUUACCUUUUACUAGCUAAAAUUUACUAUUUUUACCGUCGUCGUAUUUUCCUCAUACGAAUAAUCCUCCUCACAUAAUCGUCCCCGAAACCCCUCUAGGGACCAAUUAAACUAUUUACUCAAUGAUCGAGACGGUAAAAUUCUUAUUAUAAUCACGCUAGUAAAUAAAGUAAAAAUAUAAGGGUCGGGAUGUGACACUACUACUAUAAAAGCCAACCGUUCAUAGUUUCACCAAAAUAUGUUUUGUCUAAAAUAACUUUUGAAGUAAACACUAUGUGUAGACACCUCAACGAACUCAUGUAGACACUCUCAUCAUCUCUAUAUGUUAUUAGGGUAAAUAGGUAAAUAACUUAAUAUGCAAUUAAAGAGAUAACUAUGAGCUUUCUUUGAUAAAAAUUGAAAAUCAAUUAGUUAGGAUGCACCACUAACUGUACAAAACUAUAUAUAUAAGAAAGAAAAAAAUAACUACAAGUUAACAAUGUGUUCCACACGCAAAAUAGGCGAGUAUAAAUGCUAGCUAGUAAUUAGGUAAUACGCACGUUCUAGUUCUACUGGUAUAAGCUAGCUUUCAUAGUGGUAUAAGUAAUCUACAAAUGAGAGAUAUUAAAUUUGAUAUGAAAGAGUACUAAUUAUUGUAAUAUUUUCUGAAUAAAACAUAUGUCAUAAUCACGCAUUACAAAAUCUCUAAUAAUGUGUAGAUCUUAAUAGUAUACGUGCGACAUUUCACCUCACUUGUUUCGUCUACAAAGCUUGAAACAUAUUUCAAACAACAAAGAUAACUAUAUACAUAUAUAGAUGCCAGCUUUCACCAUAGCGCUAAACUGCGAUACUCCAUCCAUCAUUAUGAGUGUUGUAGCCUGAGAAAGCACACAGAAACAAAUUUUCUCCUUGACAUUUGUUCUAGGGAUAGGAGGUUCACCAUGUCAGAGGUAAAUCAGUACUUCCUCAGCAGAUACCUUCUUGAUUAAUUUUUUUUUGGGGGUGGGGGGGGAGAGUUUUUGUUCUAUGACCCUAAUGCAUGUACGCCCUCGCCUUUUCUUCGAGUGAGCCUUCGGUACUCUUUGCUGCAAUCAAAGUACCGCGGCCCUUUGGGCUCUGGUGUUGGAAUCAAACGCCUUCAAGUCAACCAUGCAUGAAGAGAUUUCAGAAAAUAAUUUUUAAAAACAAAACUUAGAAAAUUAUAGUGUAGGUUUUUAAAGUUUACAAUGCUAUCGACGGUUAACUGUGAGGAUGAAAAAGUGAAAACAUCGUAUUGUUGUUUUCGGUUUUGUUUUGGACGUAAAAUAUGAAUACAUGUUCAACUUUUACUUUUCAUGUUUGAAAAAUAUCUAAAACACUUGUUAGUCCUUCUUUUGGCCAAACAGUCAAAACAUCAACUUGGGAAAGCAACAACCCAAUAAUGUCGUAUCCUUUAAUGUUUUGGUCCCAUUAACUGCUUAUAGUUUUCUUAUAAAUCAUCUAUGCCACUCCCUUCUUUUUCCCAAUCACCACCCUGGCACAGUGGCACCCUCUUCUCCAAAGACAUGGAAUCAGUAAUAACUCAAAACGGGGAGCGGAAAAGCAGUGAAGAAGGUAGUGAGCAGAAACCAACGUAUAGAGGAGUUCGAAGGCGUGAAUGGGGGAAAUGGGUAUCAGAAAUCAGAGAACCGAGAAAGAAGUCCAGAAUUUGGCUCGGAACUUUUGCUACAGCGGAAAUGGCUGCGCGAGCUCACGACGUCGCAGCUCUGACGAUCAAAGGCCGCUCGGCUCAUCUCAACUUCCCUGAGCUAGCUCAGGAGCUUCCUCGUGCCGCUAGCUCAUCGCCGAAAGACAUUCAAGCCGCUGCAGCUAAAGCUGCUGCUCUUAGUUACCCUAGCUGCAGCAGCACGGUCAGCAGCAGCAGCAGCAGCAGCAGCAGUCAUGAAGCUCAAGAACACUACGCCGAACCGGCUCAAGAUUCAUCACCUUCGGAAACAAUAAAUGAUGACACAUUUUUUGACCUUCCUGAUCUGCUGUUAGACGUUGGACAUUAUCGUAGUGAUGAUGCCUACUGUUUCUCGAUAGUUGAUACAAGUAUCAGUCUAGAAGAGCCUUUCUUAUGGGAUUAGAGAGCAAUAUACUGAAGUGCCAUAAACCACCGGCUUAAAGACUCCAUAUUUAGACUCUGGAGUACAUUGCUAGCUAAAGUGAAGACGAUGGUGAUGGAGGAAGACUUUGAACUCUGGCCUUGAAGGUAAACACCCUAAUUACUACUGGAGCUACAAGAUCACUGAAAGCUCAGUGCUGAGUGUAUAUUUACUUACUCCAUGUAUAAAGAUUUUCAUUAUAAUAAAGAACCUGAAGUCAGUGCUCAUUAAUUUCAUGUAUUGUUCGAUCUCUAAGUCUCUAAUCUUCUUCCUUUUUUUUUUUUUUGGUCAGAAUAUAUGUAUCAACAUCUUAAUUAUAAGUGAAAAACUUUAUCAAUGAUUAAAGGCGGAUCUAGGAAUUGAAAUCGGGUGAGAUUUGAUUUUCUAAUUUUCACCAUAAAAAAACUCAGUGCAAGAGAAAUAUUAUAUAUUAAAAGUAAUGAUACACUUAGACAGGAGACAUAGUGAGCCUAAUUACCUCUCGAAUGCAAGAUAUGCAAAACAAGAUUCAUAAAAAUAUCCAAAUGUAACACAAAAGAACCUAAGUAAAUAGAAACUGUAUAGAGAUGUAAAAGCUUUGAGGGAGCACGUCAGCCCAUUCUCUUCAGCCCAAAAGUAAAAUUACUGGUAGUCCAAGUGAGACUUAGAGCCUAAAAUAUUACAAUUAUAUUAGGAUAGGUGAUAACUACAUGAAAGAAAUUUUUUUGCCCUAAAAAUUUGGGUGGGACUUAGUCCCACUCUUCCAUGCUCUACAUCCGCCCCCAUUGACUAGUACUGCAAAAUUUCCAUGUCUAUGAGUAUGCGCUUACAGACUAUAUAGAUCUAGCUAGACACAUUAGACUGUACACGCAGGGCUGGUAAAUGCAAAUUGAAUAAAAGAGAUGUUGGCAUGUCGCGAAGGUAUUUGAUAUCAUAAUGUAGUAUCAGUCUGUUUGUUUUUGAGGUAUUACGUUUACGCAAGUCAUGCAUUCACGCAUGUACGUUUCCAUUGUAUGUGUCGUCGAUCAACAUAUCGCAGCCACCAAAAGCACCACCAGAAACCAGGCCACCACAGUCUGUUCAAACCCAAACCCCGGGUUUGUGUGUGGCUCUGCAAUAAUCCCAGCGCAGUCGACCAAGAUCUAUCUCCCACAGUCCCACGAAGCCAUUAAUUAGCAUGAUUAUGGAGCCUUCUCUGCACGAAGGUAUCUUCACCUCAAUUCCUCGACUAAAACCAGCAUGUAAUUCGUUUUCAACUUCAACGUAUAUAUGUCAGAGAUCGAUGUUAGAAACCAUGAAUUAUUGAACAGAAAAGCUAAAAAUGAAAGGAAAGCAAAGAAAGAAAACGCAGAGAGCUAAUUAAUUUGGAUGCUACAUUGUGCUAUUGUGUUUAAGAUAAAAUGUCAUGAGAUUAUAAAAAGUACAUAGAGGCUAGGGCUGAAGAUGUAGAAUGACAUAAAUGUCAUUACGAUACAAUUGCAAUAAUCCUAACAAUCGAGACACAUCCAUGAGCAAACUGCACACAGAGCAGAAAUGGAUGAGACACGUUUUUAAUAGCCAUUGACGCUGGAAGACUGUACACUCGACCGCUAGGAGAAAACUUAAUUUGGUUCUUUUUUCGGGCUGUAACCUGUUCUGCAGAUUUGAACUCAUUACCAUAUGGAUUGUGGUAGCUCUUUCGGUUCUUCCUCAGUUACUACAAAAUUGAUUGUGGUAGUUCCUCAGUUACCAUAUGGAUCCCUUUGUUUAUUAUGCAGUUCUUACUUCUCAUUCUGCCCUCCAAAUCAGAAUGGGCCAUGGGGUAACACAAAAUUGAGAACAUCAAUAUCUGUAAGCACUGUUAAGCAGGAAAAUGGGGAGACGAAUGACGAGGCAGCUGCAUUGACAUCUCACCCAGAUUAGAGAGGUUUGUGUGUAUGUGUGUAUAUCUAUGUUUAAACGUUCUCCGCGAGUCCUAAACACCUCUCUCCAUCGUAUCUUACAGGCGGAGACCCAAAUCAAACACAACUACCGGCAGGGACCGUUUAGUCAGGACACCUGCUGCCGCCAAGUUACUAUCCCACUAUCCUGAUCGAUCACUGUAAUGCGUUUAAUCCGUGAUGUAUGUACGUGCCUGUCCGGUCUCAUGUAUAAAGCAUAUAUGGUCCUUCCCUCUUAUUCAUUAUAAUAUCUUGACCUAAUUUAUCUGAGGAAGCUCUGGAAUAUCUGAACAUUGAGCUCGUUCAUGCUCAUAUAUAUAAAUAUAUAUAUAUAUAUAUAUAUAUACGUUCUACUCCAGAGNNNNNNNNNNNNNNNNNNNNNNNNNNNNNNNNNNNNNNNNNNNNNNNNNNNNNNNNNNNNNNNNNNNNNNNNNNNNNNNNNNNNNNNNNNNNNNNNNNNNNNNNNNNNNNNNNNNNNNNNNNNNNNNNNNNNNNNNNNNNNNNNNNNNNNNNNNNNNNNNNNNNNNNNNNNNNNNNNNNNNNNNNNNNNNNNNNNNNNNNNNNNNNNNNNNNNNNNNNNNNNNNNNNNNNNNNNNNNNNNNNNNNNNNNNNNNNNNNNNNNNNNNNNNNNNNNNNNNNNNNNNNNNNNNNNNNNNNNNNNNNNNNNNNNNNNNNNNNNNNNNNNNNNNNNNNNNNNNNNNNNNNNNNNNNNNNNNNNNNNNNNNNNNNNNNNNNNNNNNNNNNNNNNNNNNNNNNNNNNNNNNNNNNNNNNNNNNNNNNNNNNNNNNNNNNNNNNNNNNNNNNNNNNNNNNNNNNNNNNNNNNNNNNNNNNNNNNNNNNNNNNNNNNNNNNNNNNNNNNNNNNNNNNNNNNNNNNNNNNNNNNNNNNNNNNNNNNNNNNNNNNNNNNNNNNNNNNNNNNNNNNNNNNNNNNNNNNNNNNNNNNNNNNNNNNNNNNNNNNNNNNNNNNNNNNNNNNNNNNNNNNNNNNNNNNNNNNNNNNNNNNNNNNNNNNNNNNNNNNNNNNNNNNNNNNNNNNNNNNNNNNNNNNNNNNNNNNNNNNNNNNNNNNNNNNNNNNNNNNNNNNNNNNNNNNNNNNNNNNNNNNNNNNNNNNNNNNNNNNNNNNNNNNNNNNNNNNNNNNNNNNNNNNNNNNNNNNNNNNNNNNNNNNNNNNNNNNNNNNNNNNNNNNNNNNNNNNNNNNNNNNNNNNNNNNNNNNNNNNNNNNNNNNNNNNNNNNNNNNNNNNNNNNNNNNNNNNNNNNNNNNNNNNNNNNNNNNNNNNNNNNNNNNNNNNNNNNNNNNNNNNNNNNNNNNNNNNNNNNNNNNNNNNNNNNNNNNNNNNNNNNNNNNNNNNNNNNNNNNNNNNNNNNNNNNNNNNNNNNNNNNNNNNNNNNNNNNNNNNNNNNNNNNNNNNNNNNNNNNNNNNNNNNNNNNNNNNNNNNNNNNNNNNNNNNNNNNNNNNNNNNNNNNNNNNNNNNNNNNNNNNNNNNNNNNNNNNNNNNNNNNNNNNNNNNNNNNNNNNNNNNNNNNNNNNNNNNNNNNNNNNNNNNNNNNNNNNNNNNNNNNNNNNNNNNNNNNNNNNNNNNNNNNNNNNNNNNNNNNNNNNNNNNNNNNNNNNNNNNNNNNNNNNNNNNNNNNNNNNNNNNNNNNNNNNNNNNNNNNNNNNNNNNNNNNNNNNNNNNNNNNNNNNNNNNNNNNNNNNNNNNNNNNNNNNNNNNNNNNNNNNNNNNNNNNNNNNNNNNNNNNNNNNNNNNNNNNNNNNNNNNNNNNNNNNNNNNNNNNNNNNNNNNNNNNNNNNNNNNNNNNNNNNNNNNNNNNNNNNNNNNNNNNNNNNNNNNNNNNNNNNNNNNNNNNNNNNNNNNNNNNNNNNNNNNNNNNNNNNNNNNNNNNNNNNNNNNNNNNNNNNNNNNNNNNNNNNNNNNNNNNNNNNNNNNNNNNNNNNNNNNNNNNNNNNNNNNNNNNNNNNNNNNNNNNNNNNNNNNNNNNNNNNNNNNNNNNNNNNNNNNNNNNNNNNNNNNNNNNNNNNNNNNNNNNNNNNNNNNNNNNNNNNNNNNNNNNNNNNNNNNNNNNNNNNNNNNNNNNNNNNNNNNNNNNNNNNNNNNNNNNNNNNNNNNNNNNNNNNNNNNNNNNNNNNNNNNNNNNNNNNNNNNNNNNNNNNNNNNNNNNNNNNNNNNNNNNNNNNNNNNNNNNNNNNNNNNNNNNNNNNNNNNNNNNNNNNNNNNNNNNNNNNNNNNNNNNNNNNNNNNNNNNNNNNNNNNNNNNNNNNNNNNNNNNNNNNNNNNNNNNNNNNNNNNNNNNNNNNNNNNNNNNNNNNNNNNNNNNNNNNNNNNNNNNNNNNNNNNNNNNNNNNNNNNNNNNNNNNNNNNNNNNNNNNNNNNNNNNNNNNNNNNNNNNNNNNNNNNNNNNNNNNNNNNNNNNNNNNNNNNNNNNNNNNNNNNNNNNNNNNNNNNNNNNNNNNNNNNNNNNNNNNNNNNNNNNNNNNNNNNNNNNNNNNNNNNNNNNNNNNNNNNNNNNNNNNNNNNNNNNNNNNNNNNNNNNNNNNNNNNNNNNNNNNNNNNNNNNNNNNNNNNNNNNNNNNNNNNNNNNNNNNNNNNNNNNNNNNNUUUUGAGAAUGAAGAAAGAACUUUAUUCGACUAGAAAAGAUUACAAAAUAUGGGAAAUAUCGGUGGUAAUUCCCCACUCUCUUCCUUACUACUAGAACCAGUUACGGGUUUGUCACCAUGAAUGACAUCCAUAAGCUAUUAGGACCCAACCCUUAACCAAGAAAAACGCCCUUCUUGUUGAGCUACAUACUUCGCAACUGUGUGAGCAAAAUAAAUUAUUGAGUGCAGUGUUUAAAGUUUAGUUAGCUCUCCAUCCAGAUUUAAGAUUAAUUUAGCAGUAAUUAGUAAAGAACAGUGGAUUGGGCUUGAUUAGUAUCAUAAAGGCUGCUAAACUAAUUUUCAUAAAUGGUAAUGACCAAUUAAUUAACCUCACCAUUUUAUACAAAUGUUCGUAAUUUUAUAUUUAUAAAAGCACUAGUAGAAAAAAAAGGCUUAAGCGACAAGUACUUUCACAUUUCGUCGCUUAAGCAAUUCCUAAGCGACGAAAAAAAACAUUGUCGCUCAAAAUACAUAUUUCGUCGCUACAAUUUUCUGGGGCGACGAAAUAUUUUUGUCGCCUACAUUUCGUCGCCACAGGUCCUACUAAGACGACAACAACGAUUUUGUGGCAAAUUAUUUCUAUAGCGACGAAAAUGUUGACACUUAAGCGACGAAAAAAGUUUGUCGCAUGAUAUCCUUAACCUAACCGACAAAUUUACGUUUCGUCGCUUUAGAUUUAGACUAAAGCGAUGGAACAUGAUUGACUUUAGAGCGACAAAAAUGUUUGUCGCAUGAUAUGCUUUACCUAACCGACAAACUAUCUUUUCGUCGCUUAAGUUCACACUAAAGCGACGAAACAUUUGACCUUAGAGCGACGAAAUUGUUUCUCGCAUGAUAUCCUUCACCUAACCGACGAAUUUAUUUUCAUCGUCUUAGGUUAAGACUAAAGCGACGGAACUUUGAGUUUAGAGCGACAAAAAUGUUUGUCGCAUGAUAUCCUUCUCCUAAGCGACAGAACUGUUUGACUAUAGCGACGAAAUAUUUCGUCGCUUAAGUGAAAUCUUCUUUAUAUCCUCUGCAUUACUUCCAGAUCGAAAAACAGGAGAAAAACAUAUCUCAAACAGUGAAAAAAAAUUAUGUGUUUGUGAUUCAGCCAAAUUAACAUGUUUUUUCUAUUAUGGUCACCUCAUGAUCCACCUGUCUGAACAAAUGUUGUUUACCGGUCCAGUACACAAUACCUGGAUGUUUCCCAUGGAAAGGUAAAAAUUUACUAUUUCCUAUCCUAGCACUUUAUGUCUUUGAUUUAUAUAUUAUAUAUUGACGAGCUCAAUAAACUAACUCCGACUUUUUAUUUUCUUUAAGACAAGUCGGCGGAUAUAAAGGGUACGUUAAAAAUAAAUAUCGUCCGGAGGGGUCAAUAGCAGAGGCAUACAAAGCAUACAUGAGUACGUAGCAUAUAGUGAAAAUUAUCUCCAUCAAGAAACAGAGCAUGUCGACAGUGAGAUUACACCUAGGUUCAACCUUUCAGCUGUUUCUGAUGAUAUCCGUUUGUUUGGGAAAUUACCAAUUUCUGAAAGAUUAACCGAUGAUAUAUAAGUGGUUGGAAAGUUGUUAACGUGAUGUCACAUAAAGGUAUUUACAGCGCAACUAUACUUGAGAUGGGUAUUGCAAAUAGAGAUAUUGAGAAUCUGACUCUUGAACCAUAUCAAGAAGCCUCGACGUCUAAUAUCCCCGACACGGAGACUAUUCGCAUCAACAACGACAUCCACUUCCAACCCCACGAGUACAUUCCCAUUUCUAAUUUAGAGUUUGACUUCAGUUCACUUCCAUUCAUCCCACCAACUGAGGACUUCAUUGACGACGAAGAGGAAGACUCAGACGAUCAUUCAUAUGAAGUGAGUGAGGAUGAUUUAGAAGAUAGAGACUACGUUGAUAGCAAUUGAAAACUCAUGAUGUGUUAAAACGUCAAAUUUUUGAUUUAAUUAUGUCAUGAAUUUAUUAUAUAUGUAAUGAAUUUAUUCUAUUAGUUGUGAUAUGUAUUAAUUUCCGAUUGAUUUAGUUUUAUACUUUACAAAUAUUUUGAUGCAGCGAAAAUAUAAACGUUAGAAUCCACCAACGGCGACUUGAAUCCACAAGUCUAGUACGUUCUCUCGAAUCCAUGAGAGGAAUUCUGGAAUCCACUAGAGAAUUGAGAUAAACUCAAAGUUUUUUAUUAAUAUGAAAGCUGACGACUACAACUGAUAGGAGCAAAUAAACCCUACAACAACUAACAUCAAAGCCUAAAACCCCAUGGAUUAAAAGAAAUUAAACCAAAUCCAAACCAAACUAUUAAAAUUAAUGUAUGAAAAUAAGUAAAUCUGCAUUUUGAAUGCCUAAACGGACUCGGAUUGCCUAAAAAGCUCAUAUGUCGUGGCAAAGUAACGAGUUUGGUUCGUUGAGCCGUUCCGCUUCCAGAAAGGUAUCAUAAUAGUUAAUCGGACAUCGAACGCCAAAUUUAGAGCAAACCCAGUUUGGACUUGUUUCGAUCGAUCUGCUCUUCAAUCUCUAUCGUCAUCUGUUCUAUAUCACAUUUUAUGAGUAUUAAUUAGCAGAAAGUGAAAUAUAAAUGAUUUUCCAACUUAAGCGACGAAUUUUGUUAUUUUUAUCGCUUUAAAACGUAUAUUCUUUGGCGGAAAGUCAAAAAUUUAAGUCACUUAAGCGACGAAAAAUAAACAUAUCGUCGCCUAAGCCCCAAAAUAUUUGGCGAGCUGCAUUCCAAGACCAAAUUUUGGCCCAAAUUUAAACAAACUUAAGCGACAGAAGUUUUAAAUGUUGUCGUCGCUUAAGCCUCACUAUGUAUAUUGUUUCAUCGUGCACUUCCUGAUCUCAAUCCCUAACAUUGAAAAAAAAUCCCAAAAUCCCUUCACUCCCAGCCCUCUUCCUCCUUACCGGUCCCCAAAUCCCUUCACUCCCGGCCCCUCUUCCUCCUUACCAGUCCCCAAAUCCCUUCACUCCCGACCCUCUUCCUCCUCUCACUACCUAGAUGCCGCCGGCGCUCGGGAAAAGGAAAGCUCGGGAGGAGGCGGAGGAGCGUCUGUGACUAGAGUGUGCGCAACAAUACCGCUCUUUUUCUGCCGGAUCCAACCAUGCCACUGCGAGUACGGCGCCUGCAGGAUCCCUUGCUUUGUCGGCUCCCCCUCUAACCGACGACGAAGACGAGUCAACGACCUAAGUAGCAGAAACAUCGGCUGAGGGUGCACCCAGGGUUUUCAGUGCUCGCCGAAAACCGAAGAAAACCGGAGGACCUCCCCAGAAAGGAAACCGGGGUGUGGUGAACAACACAAAGAUGGCUGAUAUUGUGAAAAGCACGGGGAAGAAGAUCGACUUGGACUUUGAUUGAGAAGUUAUUGAUGGACCUCGUAAUUCUGAUGUAUGCAGUCUCUUUGCCAACAGUCUUGGAAGCAUCAUAUGAAAAAAAGUGGCAAUGAAGAAGGAAUCGUGGUAUGAUUUAGACAAGGAGGAGAGGAAGAAGCUUUUUGACUGUCUCACUGUAAGUUAAGAUAACUUUCAGUUAAUGUUUUUGGUAUUUCGAUUCCCUGCAUCAUUUCAAGUGCUAAAAGCCUAAAAUGGUUUGCUUUGAUAAUAUGUUUGGUUAGAGUAGAAACAUAAUUAGGAAUUUGGCUUAAUUUCAAGUGCUUGUACAUCUAGAUUGUGAUAUGUUAUGUUUAUCAGCAGGAUACUUGUGAUGUUUGAGCAUCUAUUCAUACUUGUGAUAAUUGGUAGGAACUGUGCAUCUAUUCAUAAGUGCAAAGUGGAACUUUCGCUGUCUAGUGCUGCAAGCAGCUAAUACUUUAGAUCAUAGUUGAUGGUAAUCAUAGGGAAUACAUUUUUCUUGUCUUUAUAAGGUUCAGUUCCGUUAUUUGGAAGUGUUAUCUGUGAAUUCCUAGGCAAGGUGGAAAUCCCAAUUUGUGGAUAAGCAUUUGGGAUUUUCUUCUAAAGAUUGGUUUGUUCCUUUCUCUGGUCUUCUCUCUGGUCUAAUUGUGCUAGGCUACCCAUGAGGCUGUUGAUAGAAUGAAACAAUAAUGAGAGCUCUUUGAAUAUCAUGUCUAUUGUAAUGGACAUUGACAGUUGCUUUGACUUCAUUGUUGGCCUUAUAUAGACAGAUAAGAAUCUACUAUUUUCUGGCUACAAAUUAGGAAUUGACAAUCUGUGUUUGUCCUAGAUUUAUGACCAAACCGAAUUUGUUUGUUAAAGAAGAAAUCAAAGAUUCCUUUUCCUUUUUACAGGAUAGACCACCGGCUUUGUAUUAUAUAGUGAUAGAACUUAAAUCAUCUGGAUUUCCUUAGUUGGUCAGGUUUCCUUAAUUGUUUAGUAAUCCCUUCUCAGUACUGGUAUAUCUCUCAAUUUCCAUGCAUCAUGGUAAUUUUUUUGGUAUUUUGAUUCUCUGCAUCAUUGCAACUUAAUGGUUUCAUGUUUUUUUAUGUCUUGCAGUGUUUUUUUAUCAUUGAUUUUAAUGAUGUAAAAGCCAUUAAAUGGAUCAAUAAAAGGGCGGCAAGUGUAUUUCGUGAAUGGAAGCAUUAUUUGUCCAAGAUUCACAAGCUCGGGGGGAGAGACGUGAUUCCGGAAGAGCUUUUGCACAUGCGGGAUGAGUGGGAGUGGCUUUGCACGCAUUUUGAAUCGGACAAGUACAAGGUAUAAAUUAAGUUUUGGUUAUGAGAGUUUGGUGUUAUUUGAUAGGGUAGGUGAUUUGUGGUGAUUUUCCCUAGUAGGGAAGUUAACUACCACUCAUUGUUUUCUUUAGUUAUAUGCAAUCUUAAGGAUGUAGCAUUUGUAAUUGAGUUUCUGAAACAAAAAUUUAUAAAAAAAGAGGAGAGGAGGGGGGGGGGGGGGGAAUCAUAUCAUGAUAGCACAACAGUGAUCAAUAUCAUUCUAAGGAAAAUUAAGUUUUUGCUGAUAUCAUGAUAGCUAUAGUUUGUGUAUGAUUUAACUAGUUGUCAAUCUGUCUUGAUAAAGUUGCAUUUGUUAUUAGCAAGUUCUUUUCAAGGGGUUGUUUUUUUUUUUGAAUAAGAAGGGGUGUUUUGAUGCGUAACAAAUUAUAUAUCUCAGAUUAUGGAUUUGAUCAUACUGUUAAUUGUAGUUGAGUUGUGGAUUACAGGUCUGAAGUUGUUUUGGUAAUGGUAGCCUCAAAAUCUCAGUAUGAUAGCCAUAGGUCUGGAAGUUGUUUUGGGAAUGGUGAUGCUAGCAUGUGGUUUUCUUCCAAUUCCAUUAUAGAUAUAUAAGCAUACAACCUAUUUAAAUGGACUAGAAAAAGAAUGAUAGUUUACAAAAAAUCUCAAUAUGUGUUUUUAGAAAGAUUAAAUUGGCAUGGAUAUUUAUAUUGGUAGUAUAUUACCUGAUGAUGGAUUGUUUUGUUGGAUGUUAUGCUGCCAUUUAGCUCAUGUACGACACCAAAAGAAUGAAUAUUCACAUGAGUUUAUGUGUGUGUGUAUAUAUAUAUAAUUUUUUUUAGAAGAAACAAAAAAGAUGAGUUUAUGUAUAUUGUUUCCAGAAUACAAUCUACAUAGCUAUGGUGCUCAAUAUCUAGUGUAUGCAAACUGAGAGUACAACUUUCGUUUUGCAUUUCUCAUUUUCUCCCUCUGCAGGUACUUGACUGAUGAGGCUACUGCACUUUUGCUUUACUCUUUAUUGCAAGGAAAUGUUGGUUUUGCUGUUGUUUACUUGUUUUUUUUUCCUUGUAUAUAGCAGUAUUAGUUAAACUCAUAUAUGCAUUUCCUCCAUACCUGCAUAGUCUUAAAACUGUACUCUACCAUGUCAAACUCAGUACCUCCGAGUAAUCUAGACUACCUGCAUACAUGUCAUUGCUUUGCUUUCUGUUUACUUGUUUCAUUUGCUAUGUAGUUUUGCUACUGUGUAUUUGUGAUUUGAGUGGGAUUUAGGACUCUUAAUAACUUGAAAAUUUGUGCAAAGACGAUCGGUUGCCAACUCCACCAACCGUGGUAAGAAGGAGUUAGAGCACCACUCAGGGAGGAAACCUAUCAUUUACAGGGUGGCCGAGCUAAGGGAUAAGGGUACUUCAUUACCGGUGGUUGACGUGUACCAUGUGACAUACUACAUCAACCAGCCUAAAGCUGCUGAGCAUUAUGUAAGUAUCAAUACCUAAUGCCUUAACAAAGUUUCUAUUGCCACUUUGCUUGUUGCAUAUUUCAUGUGAUGUUCAUUUGGUAAUAAGUGUAGUUAAAUUAUAGUGAAUUGCUGAUAAGUGUUUUGUGCUGAAACUUUUGGUGUUAUGCAGUGUAGCUGUCUUGAGUUCAAAUUUCAUUAGGAUUGAGGACUCUGUUUGGCUUGAAACUUUGUACAUUUGUCCUUCCAUGUGAUUACCCUUGAUCUGGAAAGUUUGGUGUUGUUUAAUAAGGUAGAUGAUUCAUGGUGAAUUUUUGAAGUUGGGUACACUGCAUUGGAAAUUGUGUUUGUGUUGAGCAGUUCAGUUGCUUCGUAUUUGAUUGGGAUAUGGGUCUUCGUUUCGCUUGAAAUUUUAUGCACUUGUUCUUCCUUAUGUUUACUCUUGGUCUACAAAUUUUGGUGUUAUUUGAUAAGAUAGAUGAAUUAUGGUGAUUUUCUAAAAUUAAGUGUUUUGUGCUGAAAUUGUAUUCGAGUUAUGCUGUGGAGUUGUGUUAAGUCUAAAUUUGAUCAGGAUUUAAGACUUAUUUUGGUCUGAAAUUUUGUACUCUUGUUCUUCUAUAUGAGAACUAUUGAUCUGGAAAGUUUCAGCUUAUACCAAUGUAAAUUGAAAAGUCGGUGAUUUUUCAAAGUUUACCCUGCAGUUGGUAAAGUCCCAGAAUUUUGAGUAUGCUUCUUUGUUUUCUGUUGAGCUAGGUGUGUGUGUGUGUGUGUGUGUGUGUGUGUGUGUGUGUGUGUGUGUGUAAGCAUGUUGCUAGUGUAUAGAGAACCAUGCUACGUUCCAGAAUUACGAGGAUGAUUUACUAGCCUCAUUAGAAGCUUUCGUGGUGAGUGAUGAUACUAUGGGCUAUGGGUGUCCAUAGUAGUUUGGUGUUUGAUUGUUAUAUUGUAAAGCUGAUACAUGUUGCAUAUUUCAUGUGAUGUAUAUUUGGUAAAGUUGAUUACUGCUUCAGUUAUCAUGUUUUGAUGAUGUUAUAAUAGUUGCAUAUAUGACUUGUACAUAUUAUUCUUGAAUUGUAGGAAAAGUUGAAGGAACAUGGUGCUAUUGCCAAGACUUUGCAGAGCACUCAACACCCGGACAUCCCACCGGAUCAGCUACCUCCUUUGGACUGGCCAACUCAACUAAGUGUUGUCAAAAACGCUAUGGGAGAAACAAAAGGGUCUUACAUUCGUGGUAUUGGACGAGCAGGCGUCCUAGAGAAGAGCAUAAGGUCAACAUCUUCCCCUUCACGCUCUCGACCGAAUAAUCAAGCGAUGGCAGCGAUAGAGGCUGCUAGAAAGGAGGCGGCUAAGGCACAUGAGAGGGCCCAAAAAGCCAAGAAGAUCGCUGAGCAGUCUGCUGCAGAUUAUCAAAAUUUGAAGUUGCAAAUGGAUCAAAUCAUGGCUCGAAUAGGGCUACAGCCUAUGUGUUCACCCUCAGUCCCAAGCCAACAACCUCGAGACGACGAUGAUGAUAGGGGCCUUGACACUUCUCCGAUUAGUUUAGGAAAUCAGUAGAUUUUUCUAGUUUAAAUAAUUGUACAAACAAUACUAUCUAAUAAUUCUUUUGGUCGGUACGAUAACUUUAUUACUAUUAGUAAUAUAAAUAUUUCGGUUAAUUUAUUUUGGUUUUACAAGAAUUAAUUAUUUACUUACAUGAAUAUAUUUUUGAGUUAUUAUAUCUCUUAAUACUAAAAAUAAUAUAUUUUUUUUUCAAAAAAAUAAAACCUAAGCGUCGAAAAUUUUGUCUCUUAAGAUGGUUAUUUUUGUCGCUUAAGUGUAAAAAUUACACGCCAAAAGUUGACAGGCCAAAAAAGUCUUUUGUCUCAUAAGGCUAUAGCGACGGAAACUUUCAUCGCAUUAAAUGUAACGACGAAAAAAGCUCGUUGCUAAACCAAAAAGUUUUGUCGCUUAACAAUAAAACGACAGGAGAACAUACGUCGUUGUAUCACUUAAACGACAAACUAUUUUCGUUGCCUCAAUUAAUUAUUUGUUGCAUAAGAUAUAGCGACAAAAAUAGGCUCGUCACUAAACCAAAAAGUUUCGUCGCUUAACAGUAAAACAACAGGAAAACAUACGUCGCUGAGGAACUUAAGCGACGAAAAAAGUUCGUCGCUUAAGUGAAUUAUUCGUCGCCUAGGUAUGUGGCGAUGAAAACAACCCUCGUCGCUUGUUUCGUUUUCUUAAGUGACGGAUUUUAUGUUUUUGUCGCUUAAGUACUUAUGAGACGCGUCAUAUGCGACGAAUCUUAAGCGACAUCGGUUUCGUUGCUUAAGUCGGCAGGCGACAAAAAUUGGUACUUAGCCGACGAUUUUUUCCCGUCGCUUAAGUCUUUAUUUCUACUAGUGAAGAAUUUAUAUAUUCUUAUGUUUUUUUUUUUAAACUUUUUUUAUUUAAUAACUCACACACCUUACAUAUGUCAGUGAGGUUUGAACCCAUGACCUCAAUUUAUAUAUUCUUAUGUAAAUCAGCUAUAUAUAUAUGUAUAUAUAUACAUAUGUGUGUAUAUAUAUAUGUCCGGAUAUUGUGGUUUAGGGUUUAAUACUAAUUAAGUUCAAUGUUCUAUCUCUUAAAUUGUCAUGUUUUUUCAACAGUAUCAUCAUCUGCUUCGCAAUCUCAUAUCAUCGAUCAGCCAAUCACCAAGCAUAUUGAUCAAACGUUUGAUCAAUAUGCUUAGUACGUGUUGUUGGUAUAUAUACCGCAAGCAUAAGCAACGACCUUGUAGACUGUCUUCUGGUAGACCGACAUCCGGGCUACCUCGCCAUGGUGAAAGAUUAUUGGUACCACAUCGGGAAUGUGCUCUCCCAAGCUCCACAAGAAGGCAUCAUAAGAAGAUAUAUGUGUAGUUAGUCCCACAUCGGAAACAUAAUAUGUGAGGGAACCUUCCUUAGCUAUAAAAGGAAGGCUUCCCAUAUUUAGAGAGGAUGAUGGAUGAUGAUCCCUACUCACUCCAUCUUGGAUAGUUCUUGUAACACCAAGGGCCUAUUGGCCAUGAUAGUAGAAGUUUAAGUGGAUGUAGCAAUGUCCUCCGAUGAGAUGGUGAACCACUAUAUGUCUUUGUGUCUCUUGUACAUGAUUGUCUGUUUCACCGUGAUUCUACAUAGUCCCCGGGAUUAUGCAGAAACAUUUGGCGCCGUCUGUGGGAAUCAUUACAAAAAGUCACGUUGCUCUACCACAAAGAGACAUUCCACCGAGAGGAAUUCCACUCGAGAGACAUUCCACCAAGAGACAGUUCACUUCAAGUCCAUGAGAGCAAUAGGUCUAUCGGGUUGUACCCAAGCCCAACAAGGGCUAGCUAGUCAGCGGGCUAGCAAGUGCCCUGCCAGGUCCAACUGCCAUGGGGCCCAAGUAUAUCUGAUGAUCCAAUUCAGCAAUAGGUCCGGGAGUUUUGUGCUCUACCGGUUGCCGAUGCAUCACCGAUGGUUCCACUCCCGGUGACUCCAAGCAAGCAACACUCGGAGGUGACACACCGGGACCCGGAUAGCUUAGUCAUGUCGACCGGGAGCUUCACAGGUGACGACCCACUCCUCCCGCUGCCCGAUCACUUCUUAUCCCGAUGACUAUAACGAAUUUCGUCGUUUUCCUUGCCGGGAUGAGAAUUUGUCAGAAAUAGCGAGGGGAUCGGCCUGGCAGAAUUUGGGUCCCGUUAGUUAAUCACCGGCAGUUUCUUCUUCUCCGGGAUAGCGGAAUAAGUUUAGGCCAAGCUCAUGUUCCCGGUCGGUCGAAUUCGUCAGGAGAGGGAGUCCAUGUGGGAGUUGGGAUCCGACCCGAUCAAAUCGGGCGUCAUCAACCGAGGGACCGCGAUCGGCCUCGAUCAAUCAAAUCUAGGACGGCGAUCGAUCAUGAGGAGAAGCUUCCAGGUCCUAAAUCAAAAGGUGACCGGCACCCGCUGCUCUCAGUCAUCGACAACUGCUCGGUAAGAAAACCAAAAAAAAAAAAAAAGGAACUGAAUCGGUUUUAACUUGCUGGGGUUCAUGUGGAGUGCAAGUCGCAUAUACCAGUGGUCUCAACUCUCAACACAUUGAGUUCUGAAAAGAAACCCCAGAAUUGUGCAAGUGCAGUGCUCCCAUCAAUACACUUUUAUGAGCAAUACUACGAGCAGGGAAAGGCAAAGCUAAGUCUUUUUACUCCUACAUCUCUUCAAAUCUGGUCUUUGUGCUAUAUUGGUGUUUAUUUGACAAUCAGUCUGUUAUGGGUGCAAGUAGAAUUGGUUUUGUAGUAUCAAUGAUUUGGGGAUUAUAGAUUACAGGGGAGGAGUUUGGUAAUUCGUAUGUGAUUUGGACAGUGGGUGGUUAUCGUGGAAUUUUGUGCUAGCCUUGAUUGUGGUGGACAUCCAAUCUGGAAUUUGUGUUAUCCUUGAUUUUGUUGACACAGUCUGUUGUAUGUGCACAUAGAUUCAGUUUUAUGCAAGUAAAUUUUGAAAAGCAAAUAUAGAGUUUUGCUGCUGAACACUUUAAGAGUGAAUUGGAUAAUUGUUGGAAGUUUAUGUGAGUAGCUUUGUGACUAGUUUGGAGAAAGGAGAUUAGUGUUUGUAGGGCUGAGGAAUUGUAUGCUGUGUUGUUGUGCAUAUUGAAUCAGUGAAGUCUAGAAUGGCAUGUAAAAGGAAGACCAAGUACUAAAUGAUGUCCUCUGUUUGUUGUGCACAGAGGAGUCGAACAAAGUACUUAAAGAAGGAUGAGUUUGGGACUUUAUGAAGUCAUGGUAAUUAGUACUUUGACUUGGUCGGUUUAAUCACUUUAAUGGACUUGGUUUCAGACUUGAUUUAUAGUAAGUUUGUCUUGUGUUGUAAAAGUGAGCAUCCUAUUUGAUAAUUGUUGUGAGCUAGGACUCUUCUAACAAUUGAAAACAAGUGUGUUCUUUGGUUGUCCAUAGAAAUCCUUCUUUAAGUACUGUGAGCUAGGACUCUUUUAAAAUCUUUUGGGUGUCCAUAGUAAUUGAAGUGUGAUCAUUUUGUUUUGUAACGACAAGUUAUAUGAGAAGUGUGGGUAGGAAAAGAGUGAGUGGAUGGGUUAUAUUUGGUUAUUCAAGUCUGUUAAAUUUGGUAUUGAGGGUUGGAAGAACUUUGUUGUUUUGCUGUCCAGAGAUUGGGUGUCCAGAGUAAAUUUUGGGUCUUUUUGAUUCCUUGUUUGUUAUGUUUAAGAUGAUUUCGUGUUCUGAAAGUCUGUUCCUUUCUGUUCUGAAGCUUUAGAACUUGUUUUGUUGCUUCAAAAGUCGAAUUAAAGUUUCCAAAAGCCAAGUCUUAUUCUUGCUGCAAAUUUCCAGAAUUCUGCAGAAAAGCUGAUUUUCUUGCCUACUUUGAGGCAUGAUAUCUUUCACCUCAGGCCUUUGUUUUGAAAUCUGAAAAUACCUUUGUAAAGCUCAUAUAUCCGUCAUGGUGUGUGUUAAAUUUCACAGGUUUUGGUUAUCUUUUGGUGUGACAAAUAGCUUGCCAAAAACAGUAGCAGACUCAGCAAAACUGAAUUUUCUGGAUUUUCAGAUUUUGUUCCAACUUUGCAAGACCGUAACUUUCUAUCCAGGGCUUUGUUUUCAAAACUUAAGCUAUGUAUUUAAAGCCUGUAGUACCAUCUUUAAAAUAGGCUUGGGUUCAGUAAUUUUGGUUGGAGUUGAGUGGGUAGAAAUUGAAGUCAAAGACGGCAUCUUGCACACUGUUUUUAACACAAGCUGAAAUAGAAACUUAGUUUUGAGUCAGUCUCUCUAGCAGCUGGUGUGUGAUGCUAUUUGGGUGUCCAUAGUAGUUUGGUGUGAGUGGUGUGGUUUUGGAAUUAAUGUUGCUGCUAUGUACGUGAGGGCCUUGAUAUGGUUUUUGUUUGCUUAUAUGACAUGCUAGACCUAUUUGUGGUAUGAUUCUAAAGUUGCAUGUGAGGCCUUGAAAUGGCCGUAUGGACAUGUUUGAUUAAAUGUGUGUGAAGUAGUAAGCUUCCAAAAGAUGGAAUGUUUUGUGAGUUAUGACUGGUCAAUGUUAAGUUCAUUUAAUUAAUGAUGUGCUUAUGUCAGGAUAUUAGGGACUCCAGUGACCCGAGGAGCGGAAUGCACGAGACUCCAGGGAAAGUCUAUUCUGCCGUACCUCCUAUUGCGCGCAUCCGUCAGCUUUCUUCAAAGGUAGUCCAUGAGCCUCUCGGACAUUGCAUAGGGAGUUCCAAGUCUUCACGAUUGGAUUGGAAACACAAUUAGGAUAUGAAAGUCUAAGUCUUCAUGAUUAGACUAAGAAACCACCGAGAGAUAGGCAUUCCACCGAGAUUGACAUUCCACCGAGAGGCAUAAGUCAUUAAAAUCCCGAGUAAUAUCAAACGAGAUAGAUAUUCGACCGAGAGGCAUAAAUCAUUAAAAUCCUGAGUAAUAUCAGUAAUAUCAAACGAGAUAGGUAUUCGACCGAGAGGCAUGUCAUUAAAAUCCCGAGUAACACCAAGCGGGAUAGGUAAUCCACCGAAAGACAUAAGUUUUAUAUCAUCCUUUUAAAAAGGGAGCAAGUGGCUUGAUAAACCACAGACGGCGUUAACACCCCGUCACUCGAGUUGUAAUACUGGAUAUGGAAAGGGCUCGCUACCUUUGUCCAUGGGAAAGUGUAACACUCGAAUGGCUGUAGAAAGGGAACCAACGGUACCUUGCCAUUGGGAACGUGAAAACACCUCGCUCGGUCGAGUAAUUUUUGAGGCCGGGGGUCGGAAGGGGUAUUUUUUGUCUUAUUGGCAGACUUAAAGAUUACGAUGUAUAUCAAGAAAAGUAAGACCCGGAAUAAGCAAGUAAAGACAAGACCUGAGUAACACUCAUGUGUAAAAAGAAGCAAGACUAAUACGUCAAAGUAGAGAAUACCAACAAGCAAGACCCGAGAAUCACAUUGAGCACUACCCGCCCGAGUACCAAGUUCAUCGGUAGUUUAACAAAUAGAAAGCAACACCAGGGAUAACACUUGUGCCAAAAAUGGAAAAACGCCCGAGCAAGACUUGGAGGGACAUAGUGAAUCUUGUCACUCCCUUCAAAAAAAGAGAAGAAAAUCGUGAGAAAGGGGGAGAGGGAAAUAAUUCCGAGUAAGAGAACUUUCUUCUUUAGAGAGUUGGGGGGACAUAGGGUGUAUGUCGUUACUCAGUCGUUACUCAGUCGUUACUUAUGUUUGGCGGCAUACAAUUUAUUGUAACUCUCCAAGUAAGAUGGUCAUCUUACUCGGGAGUUGGGGGGACAUGUUGUUGGUAUAUAUACCGUAAGCAUAAGCAACGACCUUCUAAAUUGUUUUCCGGUAGACCGACAUCCGGGCUACCUCGUCAUGGUGAAAGAUUAUUGGUACCACAUCGGGAAGGUGCUCUCCCAAGCUCCAUAAGAAGGCAUCAUAAGAAGAUAUAUGUGUAGUUAGUCCCACAUCGGAAACAUAAUAUGUGAGGGAACCUUCUUUAGCUAUAAAAGAAAGGCUUCCCAUACGUAGAAAGGAUGAUGGAUGAUGAUCCCUACUCACUCCAUCUUGGAGAGUUCUUGUAACACCAAGGGCCUAUUGGCCAUGAUAGUAGAAGUUUAAGUGGAUGUAGCCAUGUCUUUCGAUAACAUGGUGAACCACUAUAUGUGUUUGUGUCUCUUGUACAUGAUUGUCUGUUUCACCGUGAUUCUACAUAGUCCCCGAGAUUAUGUAGAAACAUUGUAAUAUACAUUAUGCAUACUGGCCUUCAUGGGUCGUGCUCAUACGUGUUAAAUAGGCAGACUCACUCACCCGAUUUUAUCAAGUUUGUGGCUGAUAACUUUAAUUGAUGAUUUAAAAGAAAAAUAAAAAAGGUUUAAAUGAAAUUACAAAUAUACGAGGAAGAGGGAGAAGGCGUUGGUGGCCUCAUGAACACCACAAGUGACAAUACCUGUGUGUGAGUCCUUGAAAAAGACAUGCAGAGAUAUGAAGCGCGCGUCUUCUUGCUUCUCAUGACCUACCACCAUUACAUGAGCUACAUUCAGCUAGCAUUCAGAUAUGUUGAGUCGUUUAUAGAAAGAUCGAAGUGCUAGCUGCUAGCUAGGGUUUGUUUUUUGGUCAUACGGUCAUACCUAAGGAGUAGAAUAUAUGAACGAACAAAUACGUACAUAGACACUAUGAACGAAAAAAGACACUACUGAACAUUUUUUAUUCGCAUCAGAGGAUUUCAGAGCACACAACGUCACAGUACAAAGAGGGUGCCAUAAUGCAGUAAAAUGGGACAAAAAAUGAUUAGUCCCACUCACUCGUAGAAUGAGCAAGCACCUCAAAUUUUUUUUGUUCGACUCUAUUUCAUUUUCCUUUCCUUUCAGUGAAAAGCUGGAGCCCUCUAGAUUAGUUUUUGUCGACAUGUAAUUGGAGCAAGCAAAUUAUUAGAUGUAGAUCGUACUGGCCCUUUUAUUAGCUCUUAAUUCUUUGAGAAGAAAAAGAAAUUACAGGUACGUGUACAUAGGUCCCCAUUAGAUAAAGUUCAUAAUUAUUCGGAUCCUAUGUUAUGAGAUUAUGGUAGUCUUUUGUUCAAUGCACCAUCGUACUAAAGCUUGAUUGGACUAUUGUUUGAUCGUAAUCUCAAAUAAGCGUUAUUAACCAAUAAUUUAAGUACCAAUAUUGAAAAAGAAGACGACGAAUGGAGUACGUGCUUCCGAGCUUUACACAUUACCUCUGCUCUGAAACCUAGCAAGCGUUUAAAUCUGGCGACGAUGCUCUUUCCCUAAGCAGGGAGGUGAUGGUGAUGCUGUGGUGAGCACGAUGGCCGCGUGGGGAUUUCGUGGCAACGAGAGGAAUCAUCUCUCUAAUCACUUAUGGCUUUGGACGUCCAAUGACGUCAUGAUGAAGGAUUUGGUCCCAACAACGACUGAAGCGGUAGGCUUCGGGCCAGAGCAGUCGGGGCAUAGCGUUCGGUGUUGUAGAGUCGAAGACUAAUUCAGAAACUUGUAGAUCCGCAACAUCUGCAACAUGUCAGUAGUGGCGGAACCAGGACUAAAAUGUCACAUGGGUUAAUUGGAAACACUGAAACAUUAUUUUUUUUAAAAUUUUUUUAUUGAAAACAGGUACGUCUAGAAGCGUUGAAAUAAACUAAUAUAUAUAUAUAAAAGAAAAUAAUAUUACCAUAGUUCUACGUUGCUAUAUGUUGCGACAAUUACGUAAUUUUAUUCCAAACUCUAAAAUCCUUUAAAUGAUGUAUAAAUAUUGUUAUCCAACACUUAUAAAGAAAGAGAUAAUUAAAUAGUGGUCAAACUUUUACGUUUUACCAAACCAAAUAACAAAAUCAUUGUGACACAAACUCUUCUUUUAGUUUUUAUCUCUUCUCUUUGUCUAUCAAGAUUUCGUCUCUUUCACCAAACAGUAAUUCCUUUUCUUUCAACAGGUUCGUGAACUCCCUCUUCAUCUUCUGUGACCAACAACUUCUCCCUUUGCAUGCAAUCCUUUUCAGUCCAGAUCUCAUGUUCAACUAAUUGAUUCUUCUAUCCUAUCCUACUCCGUAAUCAACACUCAUGUCAGAUCACAUCUCAGAUUUGGCCAUCGUUUACGAUCCCUUUUUUGUCCAUGGUUCUCAGAUAUUUAUUUAUUUUUAUUUUUUCAUUAUGGGAUUUGGUUUUUUUUUUUCUAGGUUUCAUUUUUACCUAGGCUCCAGCCUAGUCAAGAUUAGGCUGGUUCCGCCCCAGGGUUGGGCAACAUUGUCGGAUAAUCCAGGUUUCCAACUAUGUUGUCGUCAAAAUAAACCGAGGACACACUUAAUUUCAUCCUUCCAUUUGGAGAUUGCGACCAUUUGACCCAAAAAAACAUAUCUAAAGUAGAUAAGUCACACAAGGUGCAUAGAUUGGCACAAACCAUUCGCGCCCCACCUUAAAGUGAUAGGGUAUUGUUGGCGGCAUAAUUAAAGUUGCACAGUGCAAAAAUUGAAAAACCAUUUUAGCAUAAAUAAAAAUAAAAACACCCCAACUUGAUCAGAUCGAUCCGAUCCGAUUUAGGCACAGUUGAACCCGACGCUGCCAAACGGUCAUCACCAUCAGGCGACCUCAACGUCCCCGACACCAUAUAACGCAAUCAAAGAGGCCUUUUGCACUCCUCUCAAGGAUUGUACGACACCAUCUCAGUCCUCUUAGCAACCCACCAUUGCCCUUCCUUCUAAAAAAACUCCACGUUUCCAUGGCAUCGACGCUCACAACCCGCAACCAUUCUUCGGCUGUCCACUAAUCUACGAACACAGCUCGAUCCCUCUUGGCCCAUCCGACGACGCCGUCCCGAAAGCAUGCUGUCGAACUGGGCAUCCACGCUUGACAAGAAACCGGAGACGCGGCUUAAUUACCAAUUUAAAUCAAGUUUGUAUAAUUAAUUAUUGGAUAUUCGUAAUUUAUCUUGUCAACUCAUAACUAAUGGCGUAGCCAGAACUCAUACUUAGAAUGGUCAAGUUUUAUUAACUAAAAAGUUAAAUUCAUAUUCAGUUACUCUCUAGUAAUGACAUAAUUUUGUUAAGGAGAAAUUACUGGUCACUCUAUUAACUUUCAUGCGCUCGACAGUUUACUCCUUUAACUUUCAAUUUCAAUCGAUCACUCCUCAAACUAUCCAAUGUCACACAAUUAGGUCCAUCCGUUAAGUGGCCGUCCAAAUCAAUGGUUAAGUUGCUGACUAGACAUAUUUUUCAACUGGAAAUUUUAUUUAACACCCCACCUCUCUCUCUCUCUCUCUCUCUCUCUCUCUCUCUCUCUCUCUCUCUCUCUCACACACACACACACAUUUAAAACUCAUCAGCCAGCCAUGGCUUCCCACUUUUCUCUCUCCGCCCUUUCUCUCAUCACCCUCCUCUUCCUCACCGCAACCGCCUCACCGGACGCCGCCUCCUCCAUCACCAUCGGAGUCACCUAUUCCGCCUCCACCGUCGCCACCUACCCAACCCCUCUACUACCGGAGCGCGUGGCCUCGACCGUCACUUCCCUCGGCCUCGCCGCCCUCCGCCUUGACGUCUUUGACCCCAACCUUGUCCGCGCCUUCCUCUCCAACACCACCCUCCUCCUCACCAUCCCCAACGCGUUGGUCCCACCUCUCACCUCUCACCGCUAACCGCACCAACGCCCUCCAAUGGCUCUAUUCGUUGUUAGGUUUCAAUUAGAAUCGUUGUGGUUGUAGCUCAAGAACUAUGUUCUUGAGUUUGGGUGGCCAAAGUAGAUUUUGGAUCAUUUUGAUUUAACUGUCUGUUGUGUUUAAAAUGAUUUCGUAUUCUGGAAAUCUGUUCCUUUCCAUUUUGAAGCUUUAGAACUUGUUUUGUUACUUCAAAAGUCAAAUUAAAGCUUCCAACAUCAAGUUUAUUAAUUGCUGCAAAUUUCCAGAAUUCUGCAGAAAAGCUGAUUUUCUUGCCUACUUUGCGUCUUGAUAUCUUUCAGAUCGAGCCUUUGUUUUAAAAUCCGAAAGUACCUUUGUAAAGCUCAUAUAUCCAUCUUUAUGUGUGUUAAAUUUCAGAGGAUUUGGUUAACAUUUGGUUUGUCAAAUUGCUUGCCAAAAACAGUAGCAGAUUCAGCCAAAAGCUGAAAUUUUCUAGGUUUUCAGAUUUUUGCUUCAACUUUGAGAGAGCAUAACUUCCUAUCCAGGGCUUUGUUUUCAAAACUUAAGCUAUGUACUUAAAGCUUGUAAUCUUAUCUUUACAAUAGGCUUUGGUUCAUAAACUUUUGUUGGAUUUGAGUGAGUGAAAAGUGAAGCCAAAAACAACAUCUUACACACUGUUUGGGAAGCCAUGGCUGGCUAGAGAGAGAGAGAGAGAGAGAGAGAGAGAGGNNNNNNNNNNNNNNNNNNNNGAGAGAGAGGUGGGGUGUUAAAUUGAUUUCUGGUUGAAAAAUAUGUCCAGUCAGCAACUUAACCACUGAUUUGGACGGCCACUUAACAGAUGGACCUAAUUGUGUGACAUUGGAUAGUUUGAGGAGUGAUCGAUUGAAAUUGAAAGUUAAUGGAGUAAACUGUCGAGCGCAUGAAAGUUAAUGGAGUGACCAAUAAUUUCUCAUUUUAGUUAAAAAAAAAAAGACACAAACAAAUGACGCAAACUUAAUUUUGUUCCACAUCGAUUCUUAAAUUGAACAUACACGAUAAAUAUUGAAAAGAAUGUUUUUUUUCUUUGAGAUAAUGUCAAUGCACUGUAAAUAUUAAUGUGCUGCUUAUAUUUAGCUUAUUUGUAAAGAAAAAAAAUCGUACAUGUAAUUUAAAUUAUAAAGGUAAGAAACCCUUGACACGAUUUCUAUUAAUUAGAUCGAGUAUUUUACUAUACAAAUUCGUAUUUCAUCAUUAAUGUUGAAGAAUAUUAAAGAGGAGAAUGGUCAAUUUAUGUUACAUUCCAUUAAUAUCCAAUACUCAUUAUAACUAAUUAAAUUUUUCUAAAAUGUGAGAGUGUUCAAUUGGCAUAACGUGAUUAGAAUGAACACUCGAUAUGAUGUUCUCAUUAAUCGUGAGUAAUUAUACAUCAAAGAUAAUGAUGAUUUCAAAUAUAUCACUCAAUGCAGAAAGGAGAAAGACAAAAUUUGAAUUGGUUAAUUGGCACAUGAUGGAAAUUAAAAGUUAAACAAGAACAUGUAUGUGGUGCGAUGAGAAGGUAUCAGUCAUUUAUUAGUUGUCUCUGAUCUUUACACACGGUAAUAGGCUACCAGCUCGAUUAUGUACAUUUCCACGUGAAAAUGUCUUCAUGUUUAGCACCUCUUGUUCAGUACCAAGAGAAUUAAUACAUGAAGUUGCAUGUCAUUCAACUAUUAUCGGUUUAUGCUGUCGAAAAAAUAAAAUAUUAUCGGUUUAUGACAUGACAAUUCUUUGGUCUUUCAUUUGCUUUCUUUCAUGACCCAAAAUAUAAUAAUUUGAUCGGUUUCAUCUCUAAUUAAGCAUAUAUAGGCUUGAAUUUAGACAUCUCUGCUCGUAUUUAUAAAGAGAAAUUCAGGACCUUUGGUCAUAUUCAUUAGCUAUAACUUAUAACUAGUAAUUUAGAGAUGCUAUUAUACAAGCAAUGAAAAAAUUUAGAGUACCAACGUGCAUUUACAUAAACAUAAACAGACGAUCGGAGUACAAUUUUUAUUUUUAUUUUUCUAAACAAUGGCAAGACGAGGUAUCGCAAAUGCUCAUUAGCUAGGCACAAUGACUAACCCCCCUCAACGCGUGUGAAAUGUUCCAAUUGCGUAUUGUCUGGCCACUUUGAUAACUUUGUGAUUUAAAUAUAUGAUGGUUUAGGGUUCCCUAGCUACAUGCACGCUCUACCACUAGGCCACUUGUUGUGGUUCACGAAUGAAUUACAUUAGGUACAAUAUACUUCUUCAUAAUUUAAAAGAAGCUAACUAUACAUAUUUAGGAUUGAUAUCACACUAUUAGUGUCGAUCUCUGGUCAUUUACACAGUUGUUGCAUGGAAGAACUUUCACAUUUGGGCUCCGAUUUGUAAGUCAUCUACUUGUAACUUGUCGUUUAACCAUUUGAUUAGCACAAUAUUCGUUUUUAUUUUAUCUAACGACUUACAAUUGUUUACAUCAAUUUGAAUGACCAAAUGAUUAUGAAAUUAGUUUAAAUUUUGUAGACAUGUUUCUUGCAUAUGAAUCUAGAGAAUCAACGGUUGAGAUUAUGAAAAAAAGUUACCUACUAAUGUAAAAUAAUAAAAAUCCUCAAUUCUUAAAGUAAGGAAGUCUUCUUUGGAUCCUCUCUCUCUCUAUAUAUAUAUAUAUAUAUAUAUAUAUAUUAAUUAAUUAAUUUAUAAAGGUAAAAAACACACCAAAUUCAAAUCAAAUUAUACCCGGGUGGAGUUGGUAAGAGCUUAGGAACCCCAUCUUCGAGUGUGAAUCUUGCCGACAAUAUUUAAAUCUCAAUCUAUUCUUUGUGGUCAGGAAAAAGAAAAUACUCCGACAAUAUUUUCUGACAUAAAUUAGUCUUUUUAAACUAGAAAACUGUUGAUAUUUUGUUUAAAAAAAGUGUGUCAGUUAUGGUAAUGGAUAUAAAAACCAUGUUUCAAUAAGUAAAAAUAGAACUGUGGGUGGCAUAAACCACUAGGCACCAAAGAAACAACCUCAACCCAGAUCAUAUGAAAAUCGUGGCUUGAUAAAGAAAACAAAACACACCUGGGGUAGCUUUAGCAAGCAGCAAGCAACAGGCAAAUACUACAUUUGAUGACCCACUCCCUCGGUUAUAUUACAAACUAUUACUGCUUACCCCCAAUUGGUUUAUGCCCAGUUAAAAUAAUGAGGCACAUGAAAGUGCCCUAAUCAUUCUCGAAUUGAGCUGUUCAAUGAGACAUUAGGAGAGGCCAAAAUACCAAGACCUGUAAAAGCUAGAUGAUGCCAAAUACACGUCAUACAGACAUCAAAUUUGGGGCAGCAAAAAUACCCAAUAAUUUUGUAUCCUUCACUGCUCAUGGUCCCUAAAUUGCUUUAAAUUUGCUACGUACUCUUCUUAUAUAACUGAAACGAAGUUUACACUCCACACCGCACCUUCUUCUUUCUUCAUAAUGGAAGAAGAGCAAUCAACCACCUCCUCCUCUUCUUCUGGUUCAACUACCUCUGCAGAAUGUGAAGCAGGGAAGAAGUGUAAGGGAGCGAAGAAGAAGCGAGUGAUCGAAAACGGGAGCGGGAAAGGAGCAAAGAGUGAUGGGAGUGAAGAAGGUAGUCAGCAGCAUCCAAUGUAUAGAGGAGUUCGAAGGCGUCAAUGGGGAAAAUGGGUAUCAGAAAUCAGGGAGCCGAGAAAGAAGUCGAGAAUAUGGCUGGGAACAUUUGAGACACCGGAAAUGGCAGCUCGAGCUCACGACGUGGCGGCUCUGACGAUCAAAGGCAGCUCAGCCUACUUAAACUUCCCUGAGCUAGCACAGGAGCUUCCUCGCCCAGCUAGCUCAUCGCCGAAGGACAUUCAAGCUGCGGCAGCUAAAGCAGCUGCUCUUAGCUACCCUAACUGCAGGAAUAGCCAUGAAACUCAUGAACCGGAAGAAGCACGGCCGUGUCGAGAUUCAUCAUCAACUUCACCACUAUCAGAUGAACAUAACGAUGACACAUUCUAUGACCUUCCUGAUCUGCUAAUAGAUGUUGGACAGUAUCACGGUGAUCAUGAGUACUACUUUCCGGUGGCGGCGACGUGGCAGCUGGAUCCGAUGGAUACCAUUCUCAGAAUGGAAGAGUCUUUCUUAUGGGACUAAAGAUUAAUAUAGUACUAUCGAUCAGAAUUGACGUCUCAACCUCAACAACCGGACUCUGUACUUGGUCUUUGGAGUACAAUGCUAUAGCUCAAAUCAGGAAGCGAUCAAAGAAAGUGAAAGGAGAAGGAAUUCGAACUCUGGCGUUGAAGGUAAAUAAUCUCCCUUGCUACGUACUGGAGCUACAAGCCUACAAGAUCACUCAUAGCUUAGUCUAUAGUCUAUACUCUAUACAGAGUGCAUGGAUUUACUGUAUCGAUUAACCAUGCUUAAAAUAGAUAAAUAAUAAGAGUCUGAACUUAUUUCAUGUAUUUAUCGCUUUAGUAUAAUAAGAUAUAAUAAUUAUCAGCCUUCUGUAUAAUUUUGGGGUACGUAAAUAUCCAUUAGACUUUAAUUAGUUAUACAUAGACCCUAGAUGGCUGGAUCUUCUCAUCUGUGUGAUGCUCUUAGAUGGUUGGAUAUAUGAUUCCACAGCUGAAGUUGCAAAGAUUGAUACCAUGAUAAAAUAAUAGGAGCUUCACAAGUGUAAAAUCGAUCAAUUAUCAAUGAAUGAAUGAAGUGAUCCAAAAUCUUAUAAACUUAUAGGCAAUAUUGUCGAAUAUUCUCAAGUGGCAUAAUAUUAGUAUCCUCGAAACAACCCAACAUGUGUGGCAAAUGUUCAAGGCAUACAUGUCGACAACUUAUACUAGCAAUGAAUGAUGUGAACCUAAUAUAUAUUUUGGUACAAAUGGGUGUUUAAAUCUCAUAUUUGUCACGAUAUAAAGUUAAAAAGAAAAACAAUCUUCAUUUUAUGGAAGGCAUCAAUUAUUGAUUCAUUCAAGGAUGAGAACAUUAAUCCGAUCACAUACACCUUUUUUCUUCUUUAAUUAAGAGCCUCUUAAGUCUUAACCUUUUGAUAUAGUGUCUAAUAGAACUCCAGCAUGUACGAUCAAGCACUAGAACACAAAAGAUUAAAAAAAACUUUUGAACUUGAUCUGCUUAGUUAUUCUGUUUUUCUAAUAUAUGUCAUAAUUGCUCAAACUAUUUGGGAGAAGAGUUCUCUCACUCUCUCUUCCACAUCUAUGCGCUAAGGCAGUUGCAAACUGCAACUUAGGGUCUCACAACUCCAUGGCCAACGAGGCAACGAUGAUAUCAAUGUUCCCCUUUCCUAGCCUGUGGUGCCUAGCCAGCGAACUCAUUUUGUUUCCUAAGAAAAAUCACUUAGAUAAAUACAAAUGCUUCGACAAGGAGAGUUCCUUCUAUUGAGUUGGAAACAAUUGCAUGGAAUGCUUUUCAUAUCAAAGAUUAAGAUAUUCGUAUCCUUUUCAUAUGCAUAUAUACCCGGGCUAAAAAAGUGAAAAGAGUCACAUAUUUCAUUGGUUCUCUAUAUGACCUUCAAUGAGUACUAGUAUACAUCAUGCAUUUUAUUGACCAAAAAGAAAGUCCUGCAUGGCUGAGUUUAAUCUGUUCCGGUUUUCUUAUGGCAUCACUAAUCAUUAUGUUUUUUUUUUCAUUCUUAUUUUCUUCUCUCAAACGAUCAUUAUGUUCUUCAUCCUCGUACCCAAAUUCAUCAUAUAUAAUAGUGUCGUAUAUAUAGUUAAUAAUCUUUAAAACAAAUUAAUUAACUGCAUCCUCGACUGUGCUUUGUGGUUGCGUACGCAUAAGCAGUGCUAUUUACAAAGAAUCAGAAUUUUUUUGGGUUAAAUGCUUUAAAUAUGACUUUUUCUUUCUCUUUUUUCUUUUUCUCCUUUUAUUUUCUUGAUCAAGUACUCAUCAUUAUAUAUUGAACUCUUUUUCUCAUGUUUUCAAUCAAUUAUAUCACUUUACAUGUACUUUAGGUUUGCCUUGCAAAUUUGCAAUACCUAUGUUUUCCAAUACAAGUACUGAAGUAUUUUGUUCUGAUGAAGCUGUUUGAAUCCAAAAUCUGGAGCCAAACACAGGCACUUAUUUAUAUGCUGUUAAUAAAAUGAAACUGAAUUAGAAACCCGUCUAGCUAGGUGUCAAUCUAAAUACUCGAGUACUAGACCUCUCUCCAUCGCCUUAGUUAUAUUGACUGGAUCAGACAUCUAGGUGAUCUAGCAUUCUAGCAUGAAUCAAAUAGAUUACCAUAUUAACAGCGAAUAUUUACAUAUUUACAAUGAUUUAAGCACGUACUUUCACUCACGAAGUCGGGAUAUACAUGUACGUGGUUCAGUACUUGAGUUUGCUGAUGGUUAUUGACAAGGGUUCAGGGUGGUUUUGUAAAGCAACAAUAACCAUAAACACGAUUUGAUAAUCCAAUUAUAUAUGCAUAUGAAAAAGCUUAAAGUCGAAUAAUCUCAUACAACAAAUUGUGAAUUUCCGUAGGCAAAUAAACUAAAAUCUGUCAGUUUAAUUUAGGAUAAGACUAGGGCCAUAGAAGCUUUCAUAAUGUCUCACGUCAGAGAGGAAAAGUGUAGGGUUCUAUGAGUUUGUGGCUUGUUCGGCGGCGCCUCUACCUGCCGCCGUUGGCUUCUAGCCUCGUCGAUGUGGUUAGGUUCGCUCUCGGACGGGCGUUGAAGGUGACCGGGUGGUGUUCAAACCCGGUAGGCGUUGGCGGUGGAUUGAGAGGACCAAGCUUUCUUGGGGCGGACCGGAUAGUUGUUGGCAAAUCUGGUUGGGGGAUCAGUGUUGUCUCGACGAUGAGGUUUUGUUGUCGCCUUUGAGCGGCAGUUCAGGGCCUGCCUGCUGUGAGGUGAGAUGGUGUGCCGGAGCGGUAAGACGGGGAGGACGAAGCUGAGAUGACUUACCCGGUUGCUCUUCCGAUCUAGGUUUGGGCCAUCGUGUUUCGUCCCGGUGUUGACAUAGAAGGAUGGAUGGUUUGCUUCACCAUGGAGGGUCGCGAAUGAAGUCCAUUUUCAGGUGACGGCGUGGCGUUGACGGCGUGGCGGUGGCUCCGCAUCCAAGUUGUAGCAAGCUGUCUUUAGGCAGGAUCUUAGGGGACCUGCCCUUGAGAGCCAUUAGGGUUGGUUUGGGCCUAGGUCUUUGAUUUUUGUUUUUAGGUUUUUUUAGUUGGUUAUUUCGUUGUCCUUCCUUUUUGAGCGAGGGUUUCGGCCUCCUCUUUGAGAGAGGAUUUAGGUUUUUUUGGGUAGGUUAGUGUCGUUGGUCGUGUCGUGGGGUGAGUCAUGGUUAUGGUGUCGUUUUCAGGAACUAUAUUAAUGUCAGUUAGUUCUUGUUGUCAAUGUAAUUAAGAGGUUACAUGUGCAUAUAUGCUGGUGAUAUUGGCAUGUAGUGUUUGAAAAGGUUGUUUAUUCUUAAGGUUGACUAUAAGGAUGUAUCGGUACUUCUGGAUUAAAUUAGGUUACGAUUGAACCCUAUCGGUUCUUGUCCACUGUAAUCGUUGGUGUUUCGGGUAGGGAGGCGAAUGGGGAAUUAUUUCCACCACCAAUAUCUCUCUUGAUUGUAAUAUUGUUUUCCCAUAUAAAUAAAAUUCUUGAUAUUUUCCUUAUAAAAAAAAAAAACUCGGGCCAUAAAGACCCAAACUCUAGUCCAAUUAAAGAAGGCAUAUCCAAGGUACAAGCCUACUAAGAAAGUUUUUCUUGAAUUUAAAUGACAUAUAUAAUCUGAUAGAUAUGCGAAAAGCUAUUGUUUCGUUUCGAAAACAAGAGCAACCUGGCAGCUUAAGGGACUAUGCGAAACCAAGGGGAGAAAAGUGUAAUCGAUGUUUUAUGCCUGGCCAUACUUCCAACAAGUGUCCCAAACCAAGGGGAUUACAUUAUGUGGCAGAACAUGAUGAAGAUGAUGAAGUGCAGGAUGAGAUUGCAACUACUGAAAUCGAAGGCCAAGAUUUUGAUGACAUCCCGCAGUUCCUAGUUUGCCAAUGACUUCUAUUAGCAAAGCAAGGACCCAACACUCAAAGGCAUAAACAUAUUUCGGACUAAGUGUAUCAUUGGUGGCAUGGCAUGCAAUCUAAUAAUUGACACUGGUAGUUGCGAGAACUUCGUGUGCAAGAGAGUGAUCGACCGUUUCAAGCUUCCUACAGCAAAACAUCCGACACUUUAUUCCGUUGGUUGGAUUAAAAAGGGACCUACGGAGACUGUGACAGAAACUUGCAAAGUUCCUAUAACUAUAGGACCAUAUAAGGACGAGGUGGUGUGCGAUAUUGUAGACAUGGACGCCUCUCAUAUUCUGCUUGGAAGGCUGUGGCAGUAUGACGUAAGAGUGGCAUUUGAUGGGUACAAGAAUACCUACAGCUUUGUGUGGGAAAAAAACAAGAUUGUCCUGAAGCCUAGUAUCCCGCAUGAAAUUAAUUAUGAUGGAAAUAUGAAGACAACAAACUUUCUCACUUUAUCAAGUUCUGAACGUGAGCUUGAAGAUGGAAUUAAGGAAGCACUUGUUUGUUGUCCUAUUGUGAUGAAAGGUCUCUAUACCACAGAACAAGAAGUAAUGGAGGCACAAGUUCCAGAAAAGGUGAAGCAUAUAAUUAGUGAUUUCCAGAAAUUGAUGUCAAAAGACUUACCAGAUGAGCUACCACCGGUGAGAAAUAUUCAACAUCGAAUUGAUUUAAUUCCGGGAGCUAGCUUGCCUAAUCUUCCUCACUACCGCAUGAGUCCGAAAGAAAAUGAAAUUUUGAGGGAGAAAAUCGAAGACUUGUUACGAAAAGGGUUCAUUCAUGAAAGUGUAAGUCCUUGUGCAGUUCCUGUGUUACUGGUACCAAAGAAAAACGGCAGCUGGCGUAUGUGUGUUGAUAGUCGCGCCAUCAAUAAGAUCACCAUUCUGUACAGGUUUCCAAUUUCACAUUUGGAAGACAUGCUCGAUGUUCUUGGAGGCUCAAAGUUCUUCUCUAAAAUUGAUUUGCGGAGCGGGUACCACCAAAUUCGAAUCAGACCCGGAGAUGAAUGGAAGACAGCUUUUAAGAGUAAAGAUGGCUUAUAUGAAUGGUUGGUGAUGCCGUUUGGACUUUCCAAUGCCCCGAGCACUUUUAUGCAUCUCAUGAACCAAGUAUUGCGCCCAUAUAUUGGAAAGUCUGUGGUCGUCUACUUCAAUGACAUUCUCAUCUAUAGCAGGUCUGAAAAGAGCACCUCGAGCAUAUUAGACAAGUCCUUGAGGUUCUUCAAGAUAAUCAGUUAUACAUCAACCUCAAGAAGUGUUCUUUCCUCACCGAAAAGUUGUUAUUAUUGGGGUAUGUAGUGAGUUCCGAAGGAAUACAUGUGGAUGAAGAUAAAGUGAAGGCAAUUAAGGAAUGGCCUACUCCGAAAACCGUUAGCGAAGUGCGAAGUUUUCAUGGUUUAGCAACGUUUUAUCGACGGUUUGUUCCAAAUUUCAGUGUCAUUACCGCACCUCUUACCGAAUGCCUCAAGAAAGGAAAAUUUCAAUGGGGAGAAGAGCAAGAGAAGAGUUUUGCCUUGGUCAAGCAUAAAUUGUGCACAGCUCCAGUAUUAGCCUUACCAGAUUUUGAUAAAGUUUUUGAGGUGGAGUGUGAUGCAUGUGGAGUAGGAGUUGGUGUAGUUUUAUCUCAAGAAAGGAAGCCGGUUGCUUAUUUUAGUGAAAAGCUUAGCGAAGCUCGACAAAAGUGGAGUACUUAUGAUCAAGAAUUUUAUGCCGUGGUUCAGGAAUUAAAACAAUGGGAGCAUUACUUGGUGCAACGCGAAUUUGCUCUCUACACUGAUCAUCAAGCUUUGAAGUAUAUUAAUAGCCAGAAGAAUGUGAGCAAGAUGCAUGUUCGUUGGGCUACAUUCUUACAGAAGUUUCCUUUCGUAAUUAAACACAAGUCCGGAACCUUAAAUCGAGUGGCCGAUGCAUUAAGUCGAAGGAGCCAAUUAUUAGUGACGUUGUCACAAGAAGUUAUAGGGUUCAAAUUUUUGAAGGAACUAUAUGAGGAGGAUGACGACUUCAGAGAGAUUUGGAGCAAGUGCAUAAAGCAUGAACCAUGCAGUGACUUCUUUUUAAAUGAAGGUUAUCUCUUCCGUGGCAACAAACUAUGUAUACCCCAAUCUUCAUUAAGAGAGAUGUUGGUACGUGAUUUGCAUGGUGGGGGGUUAAGUGGUCAUCUUGACAGAGACAAAACAAUUGCAAGUCUGGAAGAGAGAUACUAUUGGCCUCAAUUAAAGAAAGAUGUUGGCAACAUUAUCCGGAAGUGCUAUAUAUGUCAAGCUUUGAAAGGACAAUCACAAAACAUUGGUCUUUAUAUGCCUCUACCGGUUCCUGACGGCAUUUGGGAAGAUCUUAGCAUGGAUUUCAUUCUAGGGUUACCUCGAACACAACGUGGGGUCGACUCCGUCUUUGUGGUGGUUGAUCGGUUUUCUAAAAUGGCACAUUUCAUUCCUUGUCGAAAGACCUCUGAUGCUUCUCACAUUGCCAAGUUGUUCUUUCGAGAAGUUGUUCGACUGCAUGGGGUACCUCGUAGCAUCACUUCCGAUCGAGAUACUAAGUUCCUAAGUCACUUUUGGAUUACAUUGUGGAAGAUGUUUGGGACUUCUCUUAAUCGUAGUAGCACCGCUCAUCUGCAAACUGAUGGUCAAACCGAGGUUACAAAUAGAACAUUGGGAAAUAUGAUACAGAGUACUUGUGGAGAUAAACCAAAACAAUAAGAUUACGUCUUACCGCAAGUUGAGUUUGCAUACAACAAUUCCAUACAUCGUUCAAUUGGAAAGUCUCCAUUUUCUGUGGUGUAUGUCUCCCCACCGAAGCAUGUUGUUGAUCUUACAAAUAUACCAAGAGACAAAGGCUUUAGUGUGGUUGCCGAGUCUAUGGCUAAGGACGUGCAUGGAGUUCAAGAAGAAGUCAAAAUGAAGCUAGAGGCAAGCAAUGCAAAAUAUAAAGCACAUGCAGAUUCUCAUAGGCGAGAGAAGGUGUUUAAAGAAGGAGAUUCUAUUAUGAUUUACUUGCGCAAAGAAAGGUUUCCCGCUGGCACUUAUAACAAGCUUCAACCUCGCAAAUAUGGUCCAUACAAAGUUCUACGAAUGAUCAAUGACAAUGCCUACGUCAUUGACUUGCCUGAAUCAAUAGGAAUUUCGAAGACCUUCAAUGUAAGUGAUAUCCAUGAAUUUCGGGCAGAUGACCAUGCUUCCUAUCCUGAUAUCAACUUGAGGACGAGUUCUUCUGAAGUGGGGGAGACUGAUGUAGAAUGACUUGCAGAAGAGUUCGAGGAGCAGCUGGAACAUCAACGUCGUAAGCAAGUUUAAGUUUCCUAUUAUUCUUAGGAUUAUGAUUUAUGAUUCAAUAAGGAUUUCUAGUUCCAAUAGGUUUUGUCAUUUCCUAGUUCUAUUCUAAAUAGGAUUUAGUCAUAAGUUAGAGCCUAUAUAAGGCACCGUCUAUGUUGUAUUAGGCAUUCAACAAUUCAAUAACAUUUCAGAAAACUCAGAGAUUUAUCUCACUUAUCACCUUUAAAUUCGAUUCGACGCUUGUCUACCGAUCUCACUUUUCUACCUAUAGCUUUCACUGCGUUAUAAUGUGAUUAGGUUUCAUAACCCUAGCUAGUAGGUUUCCUCUAUAAAUACCAUACAAUAGUGGAUACGUUUAUUGGGAAUAUUGUCGCAACAGACCUCAAACAGUCAAACCUCAUAGGUUCUGAGAACUUUGAUCUCCUAGAAAAAGAUAAAAUCAAUGGAGCACGGUGAUAAUGGGAGACCGAGUAAAAAGCCGAAGUUCUCUUAUAACGACAAUGGCGAAAAAGGAGACUACAACAAAUUAGAAUGGAAGCCUGACCACCCCAAUCGGCCUCUAUGGGUUUGUCCCAAUGGUCGAGUCAUCUUUGAAGCUAGCUCGGUUUUUUACGAACACACUCAAGAUUUUCUUAUUGCCAUAGCCGAACCAGUUCGCAGGGCAGAGCUGAUCCACGAGUAUAACUUGACCCCGGAGUCCUUGUUUAAGGCUGCCUCGACUGGUCUCGAAACAGAAACCAUUAUUUCUGUUUUGAAUAAGCUCUCGAAGAACAACCUCGCGAAACAACUCAUUGAUUUCAUUCAGUCUUCUACUGCUAACUACGGCAAAGCUAAGCUGGUCCUCAAGAACAAUCGCUACUUUGUGGAAUCCACAUUUCCGGUGGUAAUGAACACAUUGCUUAACGAUAAACUUGUAUCUGAAGCAAGAAUCAGUCGUAUAACAAGCAAUGGCAAAAGAGUUUGAAAUUGAUCCUAGAAAGGUUCAAGAUGUGAUGAAACGUUGCUCGCAAGAUGGUUUGAACUAUCCCAUGGUGGAGGAGUACAACUACAGAAACGAUAGUGUAAACCCUAACGUCGGUAUGGAACUAAAUCCCUAAGCACACGUGAUGAUACGACCUUAUCAGUGUAAGAGCUUGAGCAUGAUGUUUGGGAACGGGAGAGCGAGAUCUGGUAUCAUUGUUCUACCUUGUGGCGCAGGGAAGUCUCUGGUUGGUGUUUCUGCAGCAUCCACAAUAGGAAAGAGCUGCCUUUGUUUGUCAACGAAUGGUGUUUCAGUUGAUCAAUGGGUUCAUCAGUUCAAGUUGUGGUCAACCAUCCGAGACCAACAGAUUUGUCGUUUCAAAUCUGACUGUAAAGAAGAAGCUGAAAAGAUGUUAAUCCGCCGCAAGAACAACGCUGCAGGAGUGGUGUUAGUGACUACAUAUAGCAUGCUUGGUUGUGGUGGCAAUAGGUCCCAAUAGUCUAAAAACAUUAUUGAGGAAAUCAAAAAUAGAGAAUGGGGGUUGAUUCUCAUGGACGAGGUUCAUGUAACUCCUGCUGAAUCGUUUCGGAAUGUCAUCCAAAUCACCAAAUCACACUAUAAGCUUGGCCUCACCGCGACGCUGCUGAGAGAGGAUGACAAGAUAUCAGAUCUCAACUUCCUCAUUGGACCCAAAUUGUAUGAAGCAAACUGGUUGGAUUUGGCGAAAUGCAGAUACAUUGCAAACGUGGAGUCUUUUGAAGUAAGGUGUGAGAUGACAGAGUCCUUUGCCAAGUACUACUACAAGAAAGAAAACUCCUUCGAAAGAAUGCAAGCACUUUAUUUGAUGAAUCCGAACAAGUUUAGGAUGUGUGAGUAUCUUAUACAGUAUCAUCAGUGCCGCGGUGAUAAGAUCAUUGUCUUCUCCGACAACCUCUUCACACUCACCGAAUAUGCGACCAAGCUCCGAAAACCUAUGAUCUAUGGUGCUACCUCUCAGGCCGAGACCUCAAUAAUUCUAGAAGAGUUCAAAACAAACCCGAACGUAAACACAGUGUUCAUGUCUAAGGUGGGUGACAGCUCCUUGGACAUUCUCGAGGCAAAUGUGAUCAUUGAGAUUUCAUGGCACGGUGGUUCGAGAAGACAAGAAGCGCAGCGUCUUGGUCGGAUUUUGAGGGCCAAGAAAAGCAAAGAGAAGUACAAUGCGUUCUUCUAUUCGCUUGUGUCAACGCAUACAUGGGAGAUGGAUUUUGCAGCUAAAAGGCAGCAGUUUUUAGUCGAUCAAGGUUAUAGCUAUAAGAUUAUUACAAGGUUGGAUUUGCCUGACUUUCCCCCACUUGGAUCAGGAGCUUUGAGCUAUGACACCCUUGAAGAUCAACGAGCGCUACUCGAGAAAGUUCUGAGCGCUAGGAAGGAUAUACUUGGGGGCCAAGAUCCACUACUCCAUUAGCAAAGGAUGUAGCUAGCUAGCAUUGACGUUGAUGAAGUAUCGACUGAGUGCGAGUGGGAAUAAGAAACAGAAAUUUGAUAAAGGACAGAUUAAGAGUAAGCUCAAAGAUCUAGCCAAGAGACAUCCUUUGUUAAGAAAUCGGUAAGGACUAAUGAGCAUGAGAAUGAUCAAGAGAGCUAAAUGAUCAAUAUUGAAGGAUUGCUUCUCUUUUGGAACUUUUGGAAGUUAUAUAACUCUAGAGACAUCGCCCAUUCUAGAGUUGAAUUUUGAUCACUCCCCUCACAACUUGAUUGCAAACAAUAACUUUGUUGGAUUUGUUUAAAACCAUUACGUGAUAAGAACCAUCAAACAUUUUUCAGUUCGGAUGAGAGAUGUUAAUAUCUCAAUUACAAAGCCGAGACACACAAAACAAGUCUAAAAAUACAAUAAGAAUUUAUAUACCCGAGUGUGCCAAGUACACAGUGCAACUUCAUUACUCAUAUCUAUCUAUAUAUAUAUAUGAUUAAAAUGCAUAAUCUUUUGAAUCUGAAUAAUAAUGUGUAGAUACGCGAUCAUGUACGGAAAAUGUCCCUCCAAAUAAAUACUUGAAUUUAAAACUUAAUCUGAAUUUGAUAUAAAACUCCAUGGUCAUAUAUGUGAAUCAAACAAAAACUAAUAGAUCAAACAAAAAAGAGGAUAAAAAAUUCUAAACAAUUUUGGGGUCCUUAAUCAAUAAUCACUUUGUAAACAAAAAUAAAAUAUUUUCUUAAGUAGCCGCAUCCAACGAUUGGCAUCUAACGUCAACAUCUCCAGAGCCUUCCCGCACCUUCCGAUCAAAAACAAAACACCGAACCCCACACACCCCACGUGGCAAAGAACAAUGGCCACGUGUACACAUCCCUCUCUCUUCCCCCAUAAAAACGCGCCACACCAUUUGUCCUCCCAUUUGAAACUUUCAAAACCCCCCACACAUCCUCUCUCAUUCUCUCAAACCCUAGCUCGCUCGCACCCCCCUGCGCUCCGCCACACGGAUCCCUUACGAUGCUCCCGCACUCCUACACCGUCGAUUCGCUCUCCAAAUCCCAAGACCUCGCCAGCACCAUCCUCGCCUCCGCCGCGCCGCACCAGAUCUCCUCCGCCUGCGACGCCGUCGACUCCUUCCUCCACUCCCUCCCUCCCGACCACGCCCGCCACUUCUUCUCCCUCACCUUCCCCACCCUCAUCUGCAAGCUCUUCGGCUUCGACGACGCCACAUCAUCAUCAUCGGCUCCAUCUCCGUCGCCGUCCUCCUCCGCCGGCUGGAUCGACACCGUCCUCGCCUCAAACGACGUCGGAUUGGCCAACAAGCUCUUCUCUCUCCUCGCCCCCACCAGCCUCCUCUUCCGCUCCAUCUCCGCCGUCGAUCGCCUCUCCCUCGUCAAGUACGUCUUCCCCGUCGAGCGCCUCCCGGAAUGGGUCCGAUUCAUGCUCUCCUCCGACCACGACAGCGCCGCGCUCUCCGAUUUAGCUCCGGUUUUCAAGAACCGGGUCAAGGAUGACCCAAUUCAGCCCAAUUUGCAUCAGGUUCAGCUCAAUGUGUUUGAAUAUUACAUAUUCUGGUUUGCUUAUUAUCCUGUGUGCCGCGGAAAUGGAGAGAAUUGUGAUGCUGUUUCUGUUAGGAGGAGCAAGAGAUUUAAGUUUGAGAAUUGGAUUUCGUCUUUUUCGGGGUUUUCGAGCCCUAGGCGUGGCAGUUCGGAGCAUAGAAUCGAGUGUAGUCUUUAUAUCAGGCUGUUAUAUGCUUAUCUUAAUGCAUUUGUGGCUGUGACUGAUUUCAAUUCGCAAUUGCCGUACCGGAGUUCGCUUUUGCAGUACUCUGCGGGCUAUGAUAGUUCGGAGAUAGUGAAGGGGGAGUUUUUGGUAAACGCGUUGAUGAAUUUUUGGUUACUUGAUAAUGAUUUUUCGCCACUGUCUGUGAAUUUGUGUAAGUCGGUUGGAGUUAAGUUUCCGUUUCGGUCGGUUUUAGGAGAGACACCACCGUCUCCUGGAUUAGGAGAAGUGGUGAAGUUGCUUGUGAAGUACUUGAAUUUAGGUCUGGUGGUGCACCAGAAUGGGACUGAUAAUGUGGAAUAUGGUGCGAGUCCAAGGUGGAGAAUGUCGGGUUCGAUUGAUGUUGGGAAGCCAAUGGAUGCAAUGGCUGUGUCUCCCGGUGUGCUUCCGAAUGGGUCUUGGAACUUGCUGAUACAGAGGCCUUUGUACAGGUUUAUAUUGAGGGCAUUCUUGUUCUGCCCGGUGGGAGCUUCGAUUAAAAACAUUUCACAAGUGUUUUCGGUUUGGGUUACCUACCUGGAACCUUGGGCAAUCAGUUUGGAUGACUUUGGGGAGCUUGAUGCUAUUGUUGACAGUUCAACUAAGAAUGGGAGAAAGGAGCCCUUGCAGUCUGAGGCACGUGGUUAUUCACCUUCUUGGGAGGCUUAUGUGUUGGUAAAUUACUUGUAUUACAGUUCCUUGGUUAUGCACUUUAUUGGGUUUGCACACAAGUUUCUUCACACUGAUGCAGAAAUCAUAGUCCAGAUGGUAUCAAAGGUCAGAUUCUUAUGCAUUGCCCUUUCUUUCUAAUCGAAGUUUACUUCCUGUGCUGAAAUUUAAUUGCUACUACUUGUGGUAUUUUCUUGAGAUUGAUCAAUGUGCUUAGCAUGAAAUCAUGGACAUGAAACAUUGAAACCUCCAGUUUCAAUCACUUUGAGAAAAUUAGCAUGGUUGAAUAGCUGAUGAAAGUCGUAAUAUAAGUAUCUUCCCCAUUUGAGUUUGCUUUCCCUUAUGAUUUUAAUCUUGCAUUGUCCUAGACGUAUCUAUUGGCCUGUAAGGUCUCUGAUUGAAUCUGUUACGUGGACUAGAAGAUUGCAUCUUGGUGAAUUUUCCCAAUUGUAAGAUUCAACAACGGCACUCGUAUAAGUAGUAUAAAAGUAAGAUGUCAUUUUGGUUUGGCAUCUGUUGUAGAUCUUUACCAAGUAUUGAGGCUUGACGUGAUAAGAUUUCUUCAUUUGAAGGGAAAUAUGAUACUUGAGUACAUGCUUGGAAUUGGCUUUCUUUUUUCAAAAUCAAAGGUUGUUCUUGCUCCUUUUUUUUUUUAUUCUAUGCUUGAGUUUAAUGUUCUUAUUGUGGCUCAAAAAGAGAACAUUAGCUAUAGAACUAUAUUCCUACAACAACUGUUCCCCCAGAAUUUAUCACGGAAACAGAAGAAACAGCUAAGAGGACCGAAUUCCCUUUCAGGCUUAGUAGAAAUUGCAACCAGCUAAGGAUCUGCUAGGAAAUCAUUUACUUGAUAAUAUGUAGAAUUAUGCAAUCAUAAUUUUUGCGGAUGCCUGGUCAACUAUGUGGAUGUGAGGCACUUUUUGCUUUUUUUAUUUAAUAUGAAUGUACCUUUUUGUUUUAUUCUUAACUGUUAAUGUACUGUGUACAGGUUCUAACUAUAUUAACAUCAUCCAAAGAUCUACUUGAUCUUAUGAAGACGAUGGAUAUUGCUUUUCACUCCAAACAAGCAGGAUCCGGCAAAUCGAGGCUUAAUAGUUUAUAUAGAUUUGUCACUCCAAUUCGUGAGCAGUUAAAUGUAGAGUUUCUUGACCCUCCCUUUUAUUUUUAUUUUUGAUGAGUCACGCUAUUUUAUCCCUGUUACUUUCUAAUUAUUUCUUUGCUCAUAGUACUAUACAAAAGUCAUUUACAGCCAUUAUGUAUAUGAAAUUUAUUGGAACAGCUGCUUUGCUAUGUUAGUUAGAUUAUUAAGUGCAUGAUUUCCGUAAAGGGUUCUGGAGGGUCUAUAUAAAUUAUCUACCCUUGUAAAUUAUCAGUGUUUUGCUCAACUGUUUGAAAUUUGAAUCAGUGUAUUUCCAAUUGGUAAUAUUUAAUGAUUUGUUGCUAAACUACAGGACUGGGAGGAUGGCUUAUGUGAAAGUGAUGCUGAUGGGUCUUUCUUGCAUGACAACUGGAACAAAGAUUUACGACUGUUUAGUGAUGGAGAAGAUGGUGGGCAACAACUGCUUCAGGUUUUGACUGAUGAUUGCUAGUUUUUUCUCUUUAAUAUAUGUUGACCAAAAUUGUGUAAACAUCUGUCCACCGUCUCAAGAUCUAAUCCAAUGGAUACGGUUGUCGUUAUUGCAGUUGUUCAUAUUACGUGCAGAAGCCGAAGUGCAAGCAAUUUCUGGUGAUAAUCUUACUCAAAACCUUCAGUGCAUCGACUCUUUGAAAGAUCAGGUGGCCUGCUUGUUUGGUAGUGAUGCUGUAAAGAGACUAUCAUUUUCCCCUGAAGCAAAACAGCCUGCACAACCCCGUGAUGAAAUUUUCAAGCCCAGGAGAGUUGGCAAUUAUGCUUUGGCUGAUAUCAAAUACAAAGGUGACUGGAUGAAGCGGCCCAUCUCUGAUGAUGAGGUUGCUUGGCUUGCAAAACUGCUUGUCCUCUUCUCUUGCUGGCUAAAUGAGAUUCUUGGACUGAAUCAGGCUGAAAGCAACGAAGUGGGUUCUAUACAUUCUUACGUGAAGGUCCCAUCAAGUGAUGUUUCAGGCACUAAGGCAGUGUUGGGAGUUGUUGGCUCUUGGAUUGUCAUGUUGGGUGAGGGGCUGGUGAGGCUCGUAAGAAAACGUGGUCUGAGAGUGAACCUUAGGGUAUUGGCCUCAAAGAAGGUUGUAAUGGUCUUGAUCUUGUCUGUUGUAUAUAGUGUAUUGAAGAGCCUUUGGACUGUUUCAUACGGUAGAGUGGAGUAAACAAGAACACUGAGAGAAGAGAACAGGGUACAGAAACGGGAAAAAGCGAGAAUUUUUGUGUCGCAGGUUCGUUAUACUUGGUCUUUUUUGGUUAUGUAAAAGGAAGCUACGGAAUGAAGCAUGUUUGUUUCAAUUCUUGUCCGACUUGGGCUAACCCCCUGCACUGGGUUUGUCUCUUAUUCCUUUCAUGGUCUUUGAUGUAUGUAGAGGAUGUAGAUGACACCUCCUCUUUCAGGUGUGGUUUCGUAGGUUUCUUCCGGUCACUCCGACCACCGGUUUUACAACUACGGAAUGAUAGGAUAACGGAAGCUCGGUGCUUAUGAGAACCAUUUUGGUUUGUCCAAUUCUGUAAUUGGCUCUGCAGUCCCCAACAUUUUUGUAGGUACGUACUGCUGUGAGCCGAAUAUCUACUCUAGUUCACCAUAAACAAUGGAUUAUAUCUACUCUAGUUCACCAUAAACAAUGGAUCUCGUACUUUUAACCUAUUUCUACCUUUGAUGAAACAGAAUAAUCCGGUCAGCUACUAUUUUGCACAUGCGUUCUUGUUCUCAGGUAGUCGGGUCUAGGCGUACAUGAUUGACAUAUGAGUUUCGUAACAGUGCACUCUCCAAGUCGUGGACCUAUGUCUGUUGAUACAAUUAUUGACCUUAUGGGUCUCAUGGCCCAUUUGAACUACAGUGGCACGUUUGGAGUUUGGAUAGUUCAACAUACCAUUAUGAAAAGGUUUGUGACAUUUGGUGUAGUCACUUGACCACUAGUGUUAUGAACCAUGUAGAUCAAUGAUUACGAAAACAUCAAGUCAUUUAGCAGAGUACCAAGUUGCUUCUCAUCGACCAAUGAAAUUAGACGUAACUUGAUCAUCACAUAUAUAGAUAGAGCACUAGAGCACAUAUGUAGACCACCUUGAAUCAUAGUAUAACUGUAUAACAGUCAAAGAGUGCUUGUCCAAUAGUGGGACUCUUUUACUUAUAGCACAUAGCACAUGGUAACCUCAUGGGUCUCAUUUGAGGUAGAGUGAAUCUAGAAUAUUUUUUGAAUUGCUGAAUUGGGUGGAGUCUACCUCAAAUGUUGAAGGAGUUGUGAGAGUGUGGAGUAUUCUUUCACAUUGCAAAAUAGCGCAUAAUCUGACAUUCAAAAGUUUACGAUGAGCAUCUAUUUGAGUUGAUUAUUUCCAAAAGCCUAAAAAUAUUUUUAAGAGAUAACCUGGAAAGGCUCAAGUUUCUCGACAGCACCAACAUUCAAGGAAACUCUUAAGAAGAAUGAAGGAAUCAAGACCAACUCGUAUAAGAACUUAAGCCUCUUCGACAUCAUAAAUUGAUGUUCGGUUAAACGUCGAAAUUCUUUUCAUCGACCUCGGAUACCGGAAGGAUCAAAACUAGGAGAAGCACAUUCCAUCUUUCCCCAAACAAAGGGCUAUAAGAUAAGAAUGUGUUACACGAGGUUACAUGCGAAACAAAAAAGUGAGACUAUACAACAACAAAAAAGUGCUAUCAUGUUUUCUUUGCGUCGACUUGGAGAGCUGGAGGUCACUGUCGCCGUCCGUGUGAAUUGUUAAGUGAAAAUUAGAGUCGCUUUACAAGCUCUCCUUUAUAACCAUAUGCCAUAAGAAACUGUUUUCACCGAAUUAUCAAAGUGAAAGCCUUAGGUCUAGCUAGAGAUAGAAAAUAAUAAUCUUGAUAUAUUGACCGAAGAAAAGAAGGUGUGCUUUUGUAUUGAUAUGUAUUAAUUGUCUACUAAAACAACAUUGUUAUAAGAGCGUGUGCAUAUCAUUGUCACCUUCACCAAUUAGUGAAGUGUGAAUUGUACUAUUUACUCUGUGUCAUGUGAAUUUUAUGGGUUAUGUAUGAUGAUAGAAAAAUUCAUGACACGUCUAAAAGUGUGUGUGUUAUGCUAGGUAGCCAGCUCAUCCAUGGAUGCCAGGUUUUAGAUUUAGAGACAAUGCAUGUCUUGCCAAACAAAAGAAACCAAAAAAAGAUUAUUAGAGCAAGUGGUGGAGACCAUAUAUGCAUAAUGUAGCAGCAUCAGCUUAUUAAUCAUUCAACUUAUUAGGACACGUGAUCAUGUUUUAUUGACCAAGUUGACCCUUUUGCCAACGAGUACGUUGCUCCUGCCCAAUAUAAACAAAAGCCAAGUAGGCAAACGAAAAUUCAUAUCGAUCACGGCUCGUAAUCUAUCGAGUUAUUUUCUUUAAAAGAAAUGGAGGUGCAUGAUGUAAUUAGUGAAUUAGAGGUACUUUGUUUUGUAAAUAAGGUUAUUAUUUGAGGAAUCCAUGCCAAUAAGUGGUUUAGUAAAACACAUAUUUAUACUUAAAAAGAAAAAAAAAACUUAAGGUAUAAGGACUAGGGAGUAUACGAAGUCAAAUGAGCACAUUUGAAAAUCUCAGUAUAAACUCUCCGACCUUAAGGAGCUUAUGUCGUCAAACAUAUAUAACUGCAUGCAUGUGUUCCUGCAUACUCAUCUAGACAUUUGUGUUUGGACUCUAAGCGUUCUCUUCCUCAACUCCAAAAGGCAAGUUGAUCCAAUCAUUUUAUACUUUCCGCCAAACUCCACAAAUAUAUAAGCCAGCGGCCAACUAACUUUCAGUGCACGAACAGUUCUGUCCAAAACGAUAAAGGCAGACAACCACUGUAGCACACAUAUGCCAUACCCUUGGAUUGAAGGGCAGGACUGACCCGAAACUCCAGGGCAGAAGUAAGUUUAUACAGUAGAAUAGAAGCAUGAUUAUUCUCUUUUGGACCCCAGAACAUUACCUGGUUUUACCUGAUCGACAACUACCAUUUAUACGCAUCAAAUCCGACCACGUAUACAAGAACGAGAAUCAAAGCAAGUUAAAAGAAAAAAUAAACCAAGGUCAUCGAGCAAAACACAGGUUUGAGAGUUUCUGUAAUUCAAUGACCUGGGGACGAUGAAAAUAUAAUUCCAAAGCAAACGAGAACGUGUUAAUGAAGGAAGACAAUAAUUUGCUUUGUCGUCUCUGUGCGUUCACUUCGUGCAUGGUACGUACGUUGUUAUAAUUUUCAUGAUCGAUCUUUGUCGUGGCAUACCAACUUCUUGUUCUUUUCUUCUAUCAGAAGGUCAAUCCAACGAACUGGGUUUAGGGUUUGCAGCAGCCAAUUUUCAGCGUUCUUGGCAAAUAAGCUUUGGGGAAGAAGACCUAUAUUGACCUGAGAGAAGAGAUUGGAGACAAAAAAAAAAUUCAUUUGGACAUGUUUUGAUUAUUUGAUUUGAUUGGAACGUACCCUAAUUCUUGGAAUAUAAGAAGCAUUACUCAAGGACCACACGUACCUUGGUUCUUUUUCUUUUUUCUUUUUUUUUGUUUCUCAACGAUUUUCAAUUUCCUAAUAAUAGAGAAGAUUUUGUUUAUGCCAUAGCCACACAUAUAUGAAGAUUCAUGAUCCUGCCAUCUUCCUCCGACUCGAUCAAUUGUAGUAAUGGAAAGGUUCCAUACAUAUGUAUGGUUCAUUCUGUGCUGGCGAAUUGGUUAGUUGGUAGUAGGUACCAUAUAUAUAUGAGAGCAUUAUUUUAGUCGUCUAGUUGAUAUAUAGUUCAAAAAUCGACUUCCGGAUCCCGAAUAGUGUUGAUAAAAUAACGAUUGAUUUUAGGACAAACAGCUAGCACUAUUGAAGGACCAUUAGAGAAGUCGAUCGAGUAGCAUUAAUCUAGUGAUUACUUUCUAAAUUCGCUUUCAAAAUAUUUGAUUGUUAAUGUAUGCAUAAAUUGCAUGCAUAUUUUUCUGUACAAUUGAAGUACACCCCCUUUCAAGUAUCAAAUAAUAUUGACUAGAUCGACAAGCAUAUAUUGUUAUAUUAGAAAUUAGAAGCCCCAAUCAUGUAACCCGAGGAUUUCCUGGCACAAUCGGUGCUUGAUCGCUUGGUCUAGGUAGAGAUUUUUAUUUUAUUUGACACAUGUUCUGCAUUUCCAUUUACAAAUAUUGGUGUAUAUAUAUGAUAUACUUGCUCAUGCUGCAAGGAUUCCUAGAAUGUAAUAAUGGUGUCAUUAGACUGAACUGAUCAGUGACCAAAUUAAAGAGAUUUUUUCUUUCUUUUUGGUUAUAAGAACCUUCGUUAAACCAACAAGCAUAACAACAGCAGGCUUCAACAGUUGUAAUUGUUACUCGCCAAGAUCUAGAUGGGAACUCUUCCGAUCCUCGGCAAGCUUCGCCGGCCGCUUUACUUCUUGAUUCUACUAGUAUUGGAUUUCUUAGAGGCUCCUCCUUAUAAAUGUUUAGUUCCCUUUCUCCAAAAAAAAAAAGAAGAACUAAUAAACAUAACAACAGCAGAAAGAAAUUGAAAACAGAAAACACUACAACAGCCUAGCCUUCUCCCACGAACGCAAGAGAUCGAGGAGAAAAAACGCAAAUGAAAGAGUUGGAAAAAUUAGUUGUAGUAGAUAAUAAUAUGUCUCAAUGUUUGCAUUUCUCAUUCAAAUUAAAGACAUAUUUUUCUCCAGAUCCAACAUUAUGAUUGAGAACUACUAUUCAAUAAAAACAUAGGGUGGCCUGGCCAUGAUAACCCUUCCUGCUGGUAAUAACGUACAGCUCUGCCGUAUUCGAUCUUCCUUGACACUGUUUUUAAUUUUCACGCUUUUAUAUAUAUAUAUAUAUAUAUAUAUAUAUAUAUAUAUAUCUUGUUUCAAAUAAAGAUAUCUGUAUAUAAUUCAAGCCGCCCAGGCCAGGCCAUUCCCGUAUUGAAGUCUUACUGUUUCUUCAACUGCUUUUCAUUAUGUUGAAAACCAGAUUGCUUUUAUUUAUUCAAUCUACAUGUCGAAAUCCACUCACAAUAAUUAUAGCUUUCAAGGGGCUGAUCAGUUUUUCAAUAUAUACAGCAGCGGCAGCGACAGCAGCGGCCCUCAUGCAUGCAUUAACAUUAUGGAUCAGUAUCAUUCGUUUCUUUUAAUUUUUAAUAUUCAGCAAGAAAACUUAUUUAAUUAGAAGAGAAUUCUUUGUAAAUUAGCUUGAACAAUAUAAGAAAAUGAUCGUUGACUCAAAUAUGACCUAACAUUUAUUAAUUUAAUAGGGCAAUGUGGUUUCACAUGCAUGCAUCACCCAAUUGCCACAUCAUAUCAUGUAAUGUGAGCAAAAAACAUAGAGAAAAUUGAAAAUUAAGCCGUUAUAAUAUCUAUUAUUUGAAAAAUAAGUAUCGGUAAGUUUAUGUUUUACUAGUCUGUCUUAAGGCAUGUUAUGUUGCCUAUUGCACUGUUUUAUUUUGGUUUUAAGCCAGUUAUGACUUUAUACGGAUGGUUCAUUCUUGACGUCACUUUCUUAAGUGUUAUGUUCCUGUAUUUACUAUUUUCAAGGGAUGUGAAAUCCACACAUCCUAAAUUGAAAUUCAUACACCCUUUUUUCCUUUUUUUUGGCAACUUAAACUUUGUCCUUUUGUGAAUGUGUUAGCAAAAAAAAAAAUGAUGUGUGAAUUUCAAUUUAGGGUGUGUGGAUUUCAUAUCCCAUUUUUAAUUGAUUAACACCAAACUCUUUAACAUAUGUUAGCAAGGUUUUGCCGCCACUCUCCAAAGCCCUAGCUAUGGAGAGGCAAACGCAAUUUCAGAUCUCGCAUGUCCGAUUGUGUCUCUCCGCCGACGACUGUCUUUGACCUUGUUGGCGUACGCUUGGCACAGCCAGACAAGUUUGUUGGGAGAGUUUUCAACUCGGAGACGAAGAUCAACCAGCUUCUCUCUUUUCUCUUUCGGUUGAAGGCUUUGUCAAGCUGGGGUUGUGGGCAGUGAUCAGAGGUCACUUUGGGCUGCGCAUGACUGGAAUGGAGGCGAGUGGAUCUCGGAUUCAAUAUGCUGGCAAUUUUGGCAUACAAUGUUUAAAAAAGUUGUUUAUUCUUGAGGUACGGUUGACCAUAAGGAUGUAAUGAGGUUUCUGGAAUAGAUUAGGUUACAGUUGAACCUUAAUUGGUUCUUUUUCACUAUCAUCGCUAGUGUUUUAGGUAGGAGGAGAGUGAGAAAUUUAAGUCUAUCAUCACUAGUGUUUUAGGUAGGAGGAGAAUGAGAAAUUUAAGUUUACGCCGAUAUCUCUCAUGGUUGUAAUCUUGGAUUUUUUCAUUUUUUUAUCAGGUAAAUAACUCAAAUAUUACAACUUUAUGAGUCGAAUUCACAACCUCUCACUUAUUGAAAAAAGACUAUGAUGCUAAACCAAAUAGUUCUAGGCAAUCUUAAAUUUUAUAAUCUAAAAUUUUAUCUUUCUAAGAAAACAAAAAUAGUAUAUAUUAAUUAUUCAGUAUCAUGCAACACGGUGACAAAAAUGAAUAUUAUUCAACAAAUUCAUUGAAUCUCUGUUGCAGACUUGCAGGUAGCAGGACCCGAUAUUAAUAUGACUCGUAUGCCCCAAAAUUGGACAGAAUACCAGGCUUCGGUGUUGGACAGACAAAACUUGGCAUUGUUCGAUGUCUACGUAUUCAUAUAUAUGUUUUUGUUUAUCUUAUAUUUUUGCGGACAUAUUGGUUCCAUAAAUACGAAGUUACACCAAUAUAUAGUAGUAGCCCCUAUGGGAGGUAUAACAGUUUGCUAAAAAUUCAUUGGAGUCAUCACCCACGUUACUCAUAUCUUCAUUGAUUUCUUAAAAGGACCAUUUUCAAAUUAUCCACACAAAAAAAAGGAGAAAAAAAUAAUAAUUGAGAGACCAUUUUCAAGAUUAUAUAUAGAGAUUGAUGAUUCUUCUCAGCCUAACUACUACUUGCACCGGAUUAAUCAACUAAAUUCUUUAUGCAAAUUAACUCUAUGGCAGCCUCGAUCUCGAUUGUUUACGAAAUUGUUGUAAGGUUACACGGUUUACUAGUUGAAUACGAUUAAUUUACAAGACAAGGCAGCAUCUUCAUCAUCUCUACUCUAUAAUCUUACUUUUCAUUUUCCUCGUCCCAUGAGAAAAUUUUAGACGAUAGUUUAGUUGUUCAUACUUGCUAGAUCUUUCAUCAACAUGAACUUACUAGUUGGUUUUUACUUCUUCUCUUUUCUAUUUUGGCCAAGACGGAUGUUGUACUAAAAGCAUUACUUAGAAUUGAGUAACUAAGGUUGCCCGGGUCACAAUAUAAUGGCUCUCUCUUAGUUAGUCCAAAUGUCCAAUGCGACCAUCUCUUUAGUUAACUUUUCAACUAUUGUUUUCUAGCCCUACGCAUCAAUGUCAUCAUGUAAAAUUUACCUAUCAUGUAAUUUAUAGUUCAUUUUAGUUUGUUUGGAGAAGAAGAAAAAAGUUAGAAGUGACUUUUGCGCUGUAAAAACUUAUUUGAAGAAGCGGUUAACAUUUAGCUGAUUUAUGUGCUUCUAACAACAACAAAAAACAUAUCCAACUUCCAAAUAAUCACAUACGUAUGUAUAUAAGUUUCAUAAAUAAAAGGUAUGAGUUAAACGCACCUCAUCAAUUAAUGCCUCAUCACAAUUUUGUGCAGGAAAAGAAAGAAUAAUAUACACGAAGUAUCUACCUUUGUUUCCCUGCCAAUAUCUACCUUUACGUAAGACAUGGUUUAUGGUUUUCCAUGAUUCUAUGAGGUCAAUAAGGACUAGAUACCAAGCUACUUCCUGAAUCCUGAGAGUGAGUAGUUCACCCAAAAUUGUUGCCAUUUUAAAGAGAUCGAUCGGGUCUGAGGUUGAACAUAUUAGAAUACCAAUAUCCAACUGAUUGAUCGAGCGCAGAGAAUCAGGGACAGGUAGGUACAUGCAUUAACAAGAAAAAAACUAAUAAUACUGUUAUGAUGAAGAAUAAAGUGUAGAGACAAACAGAUAGCAAGAGAGUCAUUUUAUUCAUUGAUAGGAGCCCUUUAUAUAGGGAAUUACACAAUACCAAUAUGGUAAGGAUAUGAAUACAUAGAUCUAGUCUAACUAUAUAUCCUAUUGGCAUAAGGCCAAGGCACACAUAGAGAAUAUCUUAGAACACUCCCCCUUGUGCCGCACGCUGAUAUGCCGAUGGUGCUGAUCUGUUGCCUCGUCAAAAACCUCGUCAAGUCACAAAAACCCUGUAGGGAGAAAAACUGAACCUUGAUCGUAGGAGAAAAAGAGUACAACGCACCCUUCACAUUUGAUAGUGACAUGUAUGUAUGUGCUAGACUCCCCCUGAAGUUCGCACCUCCCCCUGAUCUUUACAUCAAUCAUAGGGCUCUUCCUGAUUCUUACUAAUCACGGAAGUUUCAACAACUUAGCAUGUCAAUGCUUUUUAACAUGUCUUCAAAUGUGGUAUUGGGCAAUGAUUAACUAAAUCAUGCCGUAUUGUCCUCAAAUGAUCUUUUACACUUAGAUCUUGAGGAGAAGGUUGCUUGUGAACUCAAAACAUAAGUUCGUGCAGGAAAUCAGAUUUCCGCGCAGCAUGACCUUCAAUUACUAGAACAGUCGUAACUUUCUCUAGGAAAUACAUAUGAACGAACCGUAAACGGUUUUGGAAACUAGACUCAUUUAGCUUUCCAACCGUAUAUUACACACGUUCUGGUUCCUCAAGAGCUAUUCACA